AGAGGGAUGCAACACGAGGACUUUCCUGGAGGUCACCCAUCCUAGUACUACUCUCCCCCAAGCACGCUUAACUGUGGUGUUCUGAUAGGAUCAAGUGCAUUAGUGCUGGUAUGAUCGCAUCAGUUACUACAUGUAAUGCAAUCAUAUAUAUUCUUUUUUGAAGACUUUAUGAUCCAUUUGCCGUAGGUCCCACCAGCUAUGUAGGAAUACCCUAUCUUGUUUAUAAGAGCUUUGAUACAUGCAAAAUAUUCGAAAACAAUGUCCGAACAUAUAAUUUUUGUCCCGUAAUAUAGCAAAGAUCACGAAAAGGCCAGGAAAAAUACAUUUCGGUCAAAAUUUGGAGUAGAAAAAAAACCCUUCCUCAUUCAUUGGACAGCUCUCUUUGGGCUUUCCGAAAAGGUAUCACAUGCCAAGUUUGGCCUCACGGUCUAAACCUUAUAGACUCAUACAUUUUUCACGAAAAAAAGAAGAGAAAAACCAAAAAAAAGAGUGAUUAAACACGAGGACUUUCCUGGAGGUCACCCAUCCUAGUACUACUCUCGCCCAAGCACGCUUAACUGCGAAGUUCUGAUGGGAUCUGGUGCAUUAGUGCUGGUAUGAUCGCAUCUGUUACUACAUGCAAUGCAAUCGUAUCUAUUCUUUUUUGAAGAUUUUAUGAUUCAUUUACCGUGGGUCCCACCAGCUAUGUAGGAAUAACCUAUCUUAUUUAUAAAAGCUUUGAUACAUGCAAAAUAUUUGAAAACAAUGUCCGAACAUAUAAUGUUCGCCCCAAAAUAUAGCAAAGACCACAAAAAUGCCAUAAAAAGUACAUUAAGGUCAAAAUUAGGAGUAGGAAAAAAAUCAAUAGGAGAAUUCCAUUUUCCUUCCUUCAUUCAUCGGAGAGCUCUCUUUGGGCAUUCCAAAAAGGUAUCACACGCCAAGUUUGGCCUCACGGUCUAAAAGUUAUAGAGUAUUACAUUUUUAACAAAAAAAAAAGAGAAAAACCGAAAAAAAGAGGGAUGCAACACGAAGACUUUUCUGGAGGUCAUCCAUCCUAGUACUACUCUCGCCCAAGCACAUUUAACUGCGGUGUUCUGAUAGGAUCAAGUGCAUUAGUGCUGGUAUGAUCGCAUCAGUUACUACAUGCAAUGCAAUCAUAUAUAUUCUUUUUUGAAGACUUUAUGAUCCAUUUGCCGUAGGUCCCACCAGCUAUGUAGGAAUACCCUAUCUUGUUUAUAAGAGCUUUGAUAGAUGCAAAAUAUUCAAAAACAAUGUCCGAACAUAUAAUUUUUGUCCCGUAAUAUAGCAAAGAUCACGAAAAGGCCAGAAAAAAUACAUUUCGGUCAAAAUUUGGAGUAGAAAAAAAACCCUUCCUCAUUCAUUGGACAGCUCUCUUUGGGCUUUCCGAAAAGGUAUCACAUGCCAAGUUUGGCCUCACGGUCUAAACCUUAUAGACUCAUACAUUUUUCACAAAAAAAAGAAGAGAAAAACCAAAAAAAAGAGUGAUUAAACACGAGGACUUUCCUGGAGGUCACCCAUCCUAGUACUACUCUCGCCCAAGCACGCUUAACUGCGAAGUUCUGAUGGGAUCUGGUGCAUUAGUGCUGGUAUGAUCGCAUCUGUUACUACAUGCAAUGCAAUCGUAUCUAUUCUUUUUUGAAGAUUUUAUGAUUCAUUUACCGUGGGUCCCACCAGCUAUGUAGGACUAACCUAUCUUAUUUAUAAGAUCUUUGAUACAUGCAAAAUAUUGGAAAACAAUGUCCGAACAUAUAAUGUUCGCCCCAAAAUAUAGCAAAGACCACAAAAAUGCCAUAAAAAAUACAUUAAGGUCAAAAUUUGGAGUAGGAAAAAAAUCAAUAGGAGAAUUCCAUUUUCCUUCCCUCAUUCAUCGGAGAGCUCUCUUUGGGCAUUCCAAAAAGGUAUCACAUGCCAAGUUUGGCCUCACGGUCUAAAAGUUAUAGAGUAUUACAUUUUUAACAAAAAAAANNNNNNNNNNNNNNNNNNNNNNNNNNNNNNNNNNNNNNNNNNNNNNNNNNAAAAAAAAGAGUGAUUAAACACGAGGACUUUCCUGGAGGUCACCCAUCCUAGUACUACUCUCGCCCAAGCACGCUUAACUGCGAAGUUCUGAUGGGAUCUGGUGCAUUAGUGCUGGUAUGAUCGCAUCUGUUACUACAUGCAAUGAAAUCGUAUCUAUUCUUUUUUGAAGAUUUUAUGAUUCAUUUACCGUGGGUCCCACCAGCUAUGUAGGAAUAACCUAUCUCGUUUAUAAGAGCUUUGAUACAUGCAAAAUAUUCGAAAACAAUGUCCGAACAUAUAAUGUUUGCCCCAAAAUAUAGAAAAGACCACGAAAAUGCCAUAAAAAGUACAUUAAGGUCAAAAUUUGGAGUAGGAAAAAAAAUCAAUAGGAGAAUUCCAUUUUCCUUCCUCAUUCAUCGGAGAGCUCUCUUUGGGCAUUCCAUAAAGGUAUCACAUGCCAAGUUUGGCCUCACGGUCUAAAAGUUAUAGAGUAAUACAUUUUUAACAAAAAAAAAAGAGAAAAACCGAAAAAAAGAGGGAUGCAACACGAAGACUUUUCUGGAGGUCACCCAUCCUAGUACUACUCUCCCACAAGCACGCUUAACUGUGGUGUUCUGAUAGGAUCAAGUGCAUUAGUGCUGGUAUGAUCGCAUCAGUUACUACAUGUAAUGCAAUCAUAUAUAUUCUUUUUUGAAGACUUUAUGAUCCAUUUGCCGUAGGUCCCACCAGUUAUGUAGGAAUACCCUAUCUCGUUUAUAAGAGCUUUGAUACAUGCAAAAUAUUCGAAAACAAUGUCCGAACAUAUAAUGUUUGCCCCAAAAUAUAGCAAAGACCACGAAAAUGCCAUAAAAAGUACAUUAAGGUCAAAAUUUGGAGUAGGAAAAAAAAUCAAUAGGAGAAUUCCAUUUUCCUUCCUCAUUCAUGGGAGAGCUCUCUUUGGGCAUUCCAAAAAGGUAUCACAUGCCAAGUUUGGCCUCACGGCCUAAAAGUUAUAGAGUAAUACAUUUUUAACAAAAAAAAAAGAGAAAAACCGAAAAAAAGAGGGAUGCAACACGAAGACUUUUCUGGAGGUCACCCAUCCUAGUACUACUCUCCCCCAAGCACGCUUAACUGUGGUGUUCUGAUAGGAUCAAGUGCAUUAGUGCUGGUAUGAUCGCAUCAGUUACUACAUGCAAUGCAAUCAUAUAUAUUCUUUUUUGAAGACUUUAUGAUCCAUUUGCCGUAGGUCCCACCAGCUAUGUAGGAAUACCCUAUCUUGUUUAUAAGAGCUUUGAUACAUGCAAAAUAUUCGAAAACAAUGUCCGAACAUAUAAUUUUUGUCCCGUAAUAUAGCAAAGAUCACGAAAAGGCCAGGAAAAAUACAUUUCGGUCAAAAUUUGGAGUAGAAAAAAAACCCUUCCUCAUUCAUUGGACAGCUCUCUUUGGGCUUUCCGAAAAGGUAUCACAUGCCAAGUUUGGCCUCACGGUCUAAACCUUAUAGACUCAUACAUUUUUCACAAAAAAAAGAAGAGAAAAACCAAAAAAAAGAGUGAUUAAACACGAGGACUUUCCUGGAGGUCACCCAUCCUAGUACUACUCUCGCCCAAGCACGCUUAACUGCGAAGUUCUGAUGGGAUCUGGUGCAUUAGUGCUGGUAUGAUCGCAUCUGUUACUACAUGCAAUGCAAUCGUAUCUAUUCUUUUUUGAAGAUUUUAUGAUUCAUUUACCGUGGGUCCCACCAGCUAUGUAGGACUAACCUAUCUUAUUUAUAAGAUCUUUGAUACAUGCAAAAUAUUGGAAAACAAUGUCCGAACAUAUAAUGUUCGCCCCAAAAUAUAGCAAAGACCACAAAAAUGCCAUAAAAAAUACAUUAAGGUCAAAAUUUGGAGUAGGAAAAAAAUCAAUAGGAGAAUUCCAUUUUCCUUCCCUCAUUCAUCGGAGAGCUCUCUUUGGGCAUUCCAAAAAGGUAUCACAUGCCAAGUUUGGCCUCACGGUCUAAAAGUUAUAGAGUAUUACAUUUUUAACAAAAAAAAACGAGAAAAACCGAUAAAAAGAGGGAUGCAACACCAAGACUUUUCUGGAGGUCACCCAUCCUAGUACUACUCUCCCCCAAGCACGCUUAACUGUGGUGUUCUGAUAGGAUCAAGUGCAUUAGUGCUGGUAUGAUCGCAUCAGUUACUACAUGCAAUGCAAUCAUAUAUAUUCUUUUUUGAAGACUUUAUGAUCCAUUUGCCGUAGGUCCCACCAGCUAUGUAGGAAUACCCUUUCUUGUUUAUAAGAGCUUUGAUACAUGCAAAAUAUUCGAAAACAAUGUCCGAACAUAUAAUUUUUGUCCCGUAAUAUAGCAAACAUCACGAAAAGGCCAGAAAAAAUACAUUUCGGUCAAAAUUUGGAGUAGAAAAAAAACCCUUCCUCAUUCAUUGGACAGCUCUCUUUGGGCUUUCCAAAAAGGUAUCACAUGCCAAGUUUGGCCUCACGGUCUAAACCUUAUAGACUCAUACAUUUUUCACAAAAAAAAGAAGAGAAAAACCAAAAAAAAGAGUGAUUAAACACGAGGACUUUCUUGGAGGUCACCCAUCCUAGUACUACUCUCGCCCAAGCACGCUUAACUGCGAAGUUCUGAUGGGAUCUGGUGCAUUAGUGCUGGUAUGAUCGCAUCUGUUACUACAUGCAAUGAAAUCGUAUCUAUUCUUUUUUGAAGAUUUUAUGAUUCAUUUACCGUGGGUCCCACCAGCUAUGUAGAAAUAACCUAUCUUAUUUAUAAGAGCUUUGAUACAUGUAAAAUAUUCGAAAACAAUGUCCGAACAUAUAAUGUUCGCCCCAAAAUAUAGCAAAGACCACAAAAAUGCCAUAAAAAGUACAUUAAGGUCAAAAUUUGGAGUAGGAAAAAAAUCAAUAAGAGAAUUCCAUUUUCCUUCCCUCAUUCAUCGGAGAUCUCUCUUUGGGCAUUCCAAAAAGGUAUCACAUGCCAAGUUUGGCCUCACGGUCUAAACGUUAUAGAGUAAUACAUUUUUAACAAAAAAAAAAGAGAAAAACCGAAAAAAAGAGGGAUGCAACACGAAGACUUUUCUGGAGGUCACCCAUCCUAGUACUACUCUCCCCCAAGCACGCUUAACUGUGGUGUUCUGAUAGGAUCAAGUGCAUUAGUGCUGGUAUGAUCGCAUCAGUUACUACAUGCAAUGCAAUCAUAUAUAUUCUUUUUUGAAGACUUUAUGAUCCAUUUGCCGUAGGUCCCACCAGCUAUGUAGGAAUACCCUUUCUUGUUUAUAAGAGCUUUGAUACAUGCAAAAUAUUCGAAAACAAUGUCCGAACAUAUUAUUUUUGUCCCGUAAUAUAGCAAAGAUCACGAAAAGGCCAGGAAAAAUACAUUUCGGUCAAAAUUUGGAGUAGAAAAAAAACCCUUCCUCAUUCAUUCGACAGCUCUCUUUGAGCUUUCCGAAAAGGUAUCACAUGCCAAGUUUGGCCUCACGGUCUAAACCUUAUAGACUCAUACAUUUUUCACAAAAAAAAAGAAGAGAAAAACCAAAAAAUAGAGUGAUUAAACGCGAGGACUUUCCUGGAGGUCACCCAUCCUAGUACUACUCUCGCCCAAGCACGCUUAACUGCGAAGUUCUGAUGGGAUCUGGUGCAUUAGUGCUGGUAUGAUCGCAUCUGUUACUACAUGCAAUGAAAUCGUAUCUAUUCUUUUUUGAUGAUUUUAUGAUUCAUUUACCGUGGGUCCCAGCAGCUAUGUAGGAAUAACCCAUCCUUGUUUAUAAGAGCUUUCAUACAUGCAAAAUAUUCAAAAACAAUGUCCGAACAUAUAAUUUUUGUCCGGUAAUAUUGCAAAGAUCACGAAAAGGCCAGAAAAAAUACAUUUCGGUCAAAAUUUGGAGUAGAAAAAAAACCCUUCCUCAUUCAUUGGACAGCUCUCUUUGGGUUUUCCGAAAAGGUAUCACAUGCCAAGUUUGGCCUCACGGUCUAAACCUUAUAGACUCAUACAUUUUUCACAAAAAAAAGAAGAGAAAAACCAAAAAAAAGAGUGAUUAAACACGAGGACUUUCCUGGAGGUCACCCAUCCUAGUACUACUCUCGCCCAAGCACGCUUAACUGCGAAGUUCUGAUGGGAUCUGGUGCAUUAGUGCUGGUAUGAUCGCAUCUGUUACUACAUGCAAUGCAAUCAUAUCUAUUCUUUUUUGAAGAUUUUAUGAUUCAUUUACCGUGGGUCCCACCAGCUAUGUAGGAAUAACCUAUCUUAUUUAUAAAAGCUUUGAUACAUGCAAAAUAUUCGAAAACAAUGUCCGAACAUAUAAUGUUCGCCCCAAAAUAUAGCAAAGACCACAAAAAUGCCAUAAAAAGUACAUUAAGGUCAAAAUUUGGAGUAGGAAAAAAAUCAAUAGGAGAAUUCCAUUUUCCUUCCCUCAUUCAUCGGAGAGCUCUCUUUGGGCAUUCCAAAAAGGUAUCACAUGCCAAGUUUGGCCUUACGGUCUAAAAGUUAUAGAGUAAUACAUUUUUAACAAAAAAAAAAGAAAAAAACCGAAAACAAAGAGGGAUGCAACACGAAGACUUUCCUGGAGGUCACCCAUCCUAGUACUACUCUCGCCCAAGCACACUUAACUGCGGUGUUCUGAUAGGAUCAAGUGCAUUAGUGCUGGUAUGAUCGCAUCAGUUACUACAUGCAAUGCAAUCAUAUAUAUUCUUUUUUGAAGACUUUAUGAUCCAUUUGCCGUAGGUCCCACCAGCUAUGUAGGAAUACCCUAUCUCGUUUAUAAGAGCUUUGAUACAUGCAAAAUAUUCGAAAACAAUGUCCGAACAUAUAAUUUUUGUCCCGUAAUAUAGCAAAGAUCACGAAAAGGCCAGAAAAAAUACAUUUCGGUCAAAAUUUGGAGUAGAAAAAAAACCCUUCCUCAUUCAUUGGACAGCUCUUUUUGGGCUUUCCGAAAAGGUAUCACAUGCCAAGUUUGGCCUCACGGUCUAAACCUUAUAGACUCAUACAUUUUUCACAAAAAAAAGAAGAGAAAAACCAAAAAAAAGAGUGAUUAAACACGAGGACUUUCCUGGAGGUCACCCAUCCUAGUACUACUCUCGCCCAAGCACGCUUAACUGCGAAGUUCUGAUGGGAUCUGGUGCAUUAGUGCUGGUAUGAUCGCAUCUGUUACUACAUGCAAUGCAAUCGUAUCUAUUCUUUUUUGAAGAUUUUAUGAUUCAUUUACCGUGGGUCCCACCAGNNNNNNNNNNNNNNNNNNNNNNNNNNNNNNNNNNNNNNNNNNNNNNNNNNUCACGGUUUAAAAGUUAUAGAGUCAUACAUUUUUCCCAAAAAAACCAAGAGAAAACCAAAAAAAAAGAGUGAUGAAACACGAGGACUUUCCUGGAGGUCACCCAUCCUAGUACUACUCUCGCCCAAGCACGCUUAACUGCGAAGUUCUGAUGGGAUCUGGUGCAUUAGUGCUGGUAUGAUCGCAUCAGUUACUACAUGCAAUGCAAUCGUAUAUAUUCUUUUUUGAAGACUUUAUGAUCCAUUUGUCGUAGGUCCCACCAGUUAUGUAGGAAUACCCUAUCUCGUUUAUAAGAGCUUUGAUACAUGCAAAAUAUUCGAAAACAAUGUCCGAACAUAUAAUGUUUGCCCCAAAAUAUAGCAAAGACCACGAAAAUGCCAUAAAAAGUACAUUAAGGUCAAAAUUUGGAGUAGGAAAAAAAUCAAUAGGAGAAUUCCAUUUUCCUUCCUCAUUCAUUGGAGAGCUCUCUUUGGGCAUUCCAAAAAGGUAUCACAUGGCAAGUUUGGCCUCACGGUCUAAAAGUUAUAGAGUAAUACAUUUUUAACAAAAAAAAAAGAGAAAAACCGAAAAAAAGAGGGAUGCAACACGAAGACUUUUCUGGAGGUCACCCAUCCUAGUACUACUCUCCCCCAAGCACGCUUAACUGUGGUGUUCUGAUAGGAUCAAGUGCAUUAGUGCUGGUAUGAUCGCAUCAGUUACUACAUGCAAUGCAAUCAUAUAUAUUCUUUUUUGAAGACGUUAUGAUCCAUUUGCCGUAGGUCCCACCAGCUAUGUAGGAACACCCUAUCUUGUUUAUAAGAGCUUUGAUACAUGCAAAAUAUUCGAAAACAAUGUCCGAACAUAUAAUUUUUGUCCCGUAAUAUAGCAAAGAUCACGAAAAGGCCAGAAAAAAUACAUUUCGGUCAAAAUUUGGAGUAGAAAAAAAACCCUUCCUCAUUCAUUGGACAGCUCUCUUUGGGCUUUCCGAAAAGGUAUCACAUGCCAAGUUUGGCCUCACGGUCUAAAAGUUAUAGAGUCAUACAUUUUUCACAAAAAAAACAAGAGAAAAACAAAAAAAAAGAGUGAUGAAACACGAGGACUUUCCUGGAGGUCACCCAUCCUAGUACUACUCUCGCCCAAGCACGCUUAACUGCGAAGUUCUGAUGGGAUCUGGUGCAUUAGUGCUGGUAUGAUCGCAUCUGUUACUACAUGCAAUGCAAUCGUAUAUAUUCUUUUUUGAAGACUUUAUGAUCCAUUUGUCGUAGGUCCCACCAGUUAUGUAGGAAUACCCUAUCUCGUUUAUAAGAGCUUUGAUACAUGCAAAAUAUUCGAAAACAAUGUCCGAACAUAUAAUGUUUGCCCCAAAAUAUAGCAAAGACCACGAAAAUGCCAUAAAAAGUACAUUAAGGUCAAAAUUUGGAGUAGGAAAAAAAAUCAAUAGGAGAAUUCCAUUUUCCUUCCUCAUUCAUUGGAGAGCUCUCUUUGGGCAUUCCAAAAAGGUAUCACAUGCCAAGUUUGGCCUCACGGUCUAAAAGUUAUAGAGUAAUACAUUUUUAACAAAAAAAAAAGAGAAAAACCGAAAAAAAGAGGGAUGCAACACGAAGACUUUUCUGGAGGUCACCCAUCCUAGUACUACUCUCCCCCAAGCACGCUUAACUGUGGUGUUCUGAUAGGAUCAAGUGCAUUAGUGCUGGUAUGAUCGCAUCAGUUACUACAUGCAAUGCAAUCAUAUAUAUUCUUUUUUGAAGACUUUAUGAUCCAUUGUCGUAGGUCCCACCAGCUAUGUAGGAAUACCCUUUCUUGUUUAUAAGAGCUUUGAUACAUGGAAAAUAUUCGAAAACAAUGUCCGAACAUAUAAUUUUUGUCCCGUAAUAUAGCAAAGAUCACGAAAAGGCCAGAAAAAAUACAUUUCGGUCAAAAUUUGGAGUAGAAAAAAAGCCCUUCCUCAUUCAUUGGACAGCUCUCUUUGGGCUUUCCGAAAAGGUAUCACAUGCCAAGUUUGGCCUCACGGUCUAAACCUUAUAGACUCAUACAUUUUUCACAAAAAAAAGAAGAGAAAAGCCAAAAAAAAAGAGUGAUUAAACACGAGGACUUUCCUGGAGGUCACCCAUCCUAGUACUACUCUCGCCCAAGCACGCUUAACUGCGAAGUUCUGAUGGGAUCUGGUGCAUUAGUGCUGGUAUGAUCGCAUCUGUUACUACAUGCAAUGAAAUCGUAUCUAUUCUUUUUUGAAGAUUUUAUGAUUCAUUUACCGUGGGUCCCACCAGCUAUGUAGGAAUAACCUAUCUUAUUUAUAAGAUCUUUGAUACAUGCAAAAUAUUGGAAAACAAUGUCCGAACAUAUAAUGUUCGCCCCAAAAUAUAGCAAAGACCACAAAAAUGCCAUAAAAAGUACAUUAAGGUCAAAAUUUGGAGUAGGAAAAAAACCAAUAAGAGAAUUCCAUUUUCCUUCCCUCAUUCAUCGGAGAUCUCUCUUUGGGCAUUCCAAAAAGGUAUCACAUGCCAAGUUUGGCCUCACGGUCUAAAAGUUAUAGAGUAAUACAUUUUUAACAAAAAAAAAAAGAGAAAAACCGAAAAAAAGAGGGAUGCAACACGAAGACUUUUCUGGAGGUCACCCAUCCUAGUACUACUCUCCCCCAAGCACGCUUAACUGUGGUGUUCUGAUAGGAUCAAGUGCAUUAGUGCUGGUAUGAUCGCAUCAGUUACUACAUGUAAUGCAAUCAUAUAUAUUCUUUUUUGAAGACUUUAUGAUCCAUGUGCCGUAGGUCCCACCAGCUAUGUAGGAAUACCCUAUCUCAUUUAUAAGAGCUUUGAUACAUGCAAAAUAUUCGAAAACAAUGUCCGAACAUAUAAUGUUUGCCCCAAAAUAUAGCAAAGACCACGAAAAUGCCAUAAAAAGUACAUUAAGGUCAAAAUUUGGAGUAGGAAAAAAAAUCAAUAGGAGAAUUCCAUUUUCCUUCCUCAUUCAUUGGAGAGCUCUCUUUGGGCAUUCCAAAAAGGUAUCACAUGGCAAGUUUGGCCUCACGGUCUAAAAGUUAUAGAGUAAUACAUUUUUAACAAAAAAAAAAGAGAAAAACCGAAAAAAAGAGGGAUGCAACACGAAGACUUUUCUGGAGGUCACCCAUCCUAGUACUACUCUCCCCCAAGCACGCUUAACUGUGGUGUUCUGAUAGGAUCAAGUGCAUUAGUGCUGGUAUGAUCGCAUCAGUUACUACAUGCAAUGCAAUCAUAUAUAUUCUUUUUUGAAGACGUUAUGAUCCAUUUGCCGUAGGUCCCACCAGCUAUGUAGGAACACCCUAUCUUGUUUAUAAGAGCUUUGAUACAUGCAAAAUAUUCGAAAACAAUGUCCGAACAUAUAAUUUUUGUCCCGUAAUAUAGCAAAGAUCACGAAAAGGCCAGAAAAAAUACAUUUCGGUCAAAAUUUGGAGUAGAAAAAAAACCCUUCCUCAUUCAUUGGACAGCUCUCUUUGGGCUUUCCGAAAAGGUAUCACAUGCCAAGUUUGGCCUCACGGUCUAAAAGUUAUAGAGUCAUACAUUUUUCACAAAAAAAACAAGAGAAAAACAAAAAAAAAGAGUGAUGAAACACGAGGACUUUCCUGGAGGUCACCCAUCCUAGUACUACUCUCGCCCAAGCACGCUUAACUGCGAAGUUCUGAUGGGAUCUGGUGCAUUAGUGCUGGUAUGAUCGCAUCUGUUACUACAUGCAAUGCAAUCGNNNNNNNNNNNNNNNNNNNNNNNNNNNNNNNNNNNNNNNNNNNNNNNNNNUAUGAUCGCAUGUGUUACUACAUGCAAUGUAAUCGUAUCUAUUCUUUUUUAAAGACUUUAUGAUCCAUUUGCCGUGAGUCCCACCAGCUAUGUAGGAAUAUUCUAUCUUCUUUAUAAGAGCUUUGAUACAUGCAAAAUACNUGGAAAACAAUGUCCGAACAUAUAAUUUUCCCCCCGUAAUAUAGCANAGAUCACGAAAAGGCCCGAAAAAGUACAUUUAGUUCANAAUUUGGAGUAGAAAAAAAAACAAUAGAAGAAUUCCAUUUUCCUUCCUCAAUCAUCGGAGAGCUCUCUUUGGGCUUUCCGAAAAGGUAUCUCAUGCCAAGUUUGGCCUCACGAACUAAAAGUUAUAGAGUCAUACAUUUUUAACAAAACAAAAUAGAGAAAAACCGAAAAAAGAGGGAUGCAACACAAGGACUUUCCGGGAGGUCACCCAUCCUAGUACUACUCUCGCCCAAGCACCCUUAACUGCGGAGUUCUGAUGGGAUCCGGUGCAUUAGUGCUGGUAUGAUCGCCCGUGUUACUACAUGCAAUGCAAUCGUAUCUAUUCUUUUUUAAAGAUUUUAUGAUCCAUUUGCCGUGGGUCCCACCAGCUAUGUAGGAAUACCCUAUCUUCUUUAUAAGAGGUUUGAUACAUACAAAAUAUUGGAUCACAAUGUCAGAACAUAUAAUUUUCCCCCCUUAAUAUAGCAAAGAUCACUAAAAGGCCCGAAAAAAUACAUUUAGUUCAAAAUUUGGAGUAGAAAAAAAAACAAUAGAAGAAUUCCAUUUUCCUUCCUCAGUUAUCGGAGAACUCUCUUUGGGCUUUCCGAAAAGGUAUCACAUGCCAAGUUUGGCCUCACGGUCUAAAAGAUAUAGAGUCAUACAUUAUUAACAAAACAAAAUAGAGAAAAACCGAAAAAAAGAAGGAUGCAACACGAGGACUUUGCGGGAGGUAAUCUAUCCUAGUACUACUCUCGCCCAAGCACCCUUAACUGCGGAGUUCUGAUGGGAUCCGGUGCAUUAGUGCUGGUAUGAUCGCAUGUGUUACUACAUGCAAUGUAAUCGUAUCUAUUCUUUUUUAAAGACUUUAUGAUCCAUUUGCCGUGGGUCCCACCAGCUAUGUAGGAAUACUCUAUCUACUUUAUAAGAGCUUUGAUACAUGCAGAAUAUUGGAAAACAACGUCCGAACAUAUAAUUUCCCCCCCCCCCCCCGUAAUAUAGCAAAAAUCACGAAAAGGCCCGAAAAAGUACAUUUAGUUCAAAAUUUGGAGUAGAAAAAAAAACAAUAGAAGAAUUUCAUUUUCCUUCCUCAGUCAUCGGAGAGCUCUCUUUGGGCUUUCCAAAAAGGUAUCACAUGCCAAGUUUGGCCUCACAGUCUAAAAGUUAUAGAGUCAUACAUUUUUAACAAAACAAAAUAGAGAAAAACCGAAAAAAAGAGGGAUGCAACACGAGGACUUUCCGGGAGGUAAUCUAUCCUAGUACUACUCUCGCCCAAGCACCCUUAACUGCGGAGUUCUGAUGGGAUCCGGUGCAGUAGUGCUGGUAUGAUUGCAUGUGUUACUACAUGCAAUGUAAUCGUAUCUAUUCUUUUUUAAAGACUUUAUGAUCCAUUUGCCGUGAGUCCCACCAGCUAUGUAGGAAUAUUCUAUCUUCUUUAUAAGAGCUUUGAUACAUGCAAAAUACUGGAAAACAGUGUCCGAACAUAUAAUUUUCCCCCCGUAAUAUAGCAAAGAUCACGAAAAGGCCCGAAAAAGUACAUUUAGUUCAAAAUUUGGAGUAGAAAAAAAAACAAUAGAAGAAUUCCAUUUUCCUUCCUCAAUCAUCGGAGAGCUCUCUUUGGGCUUUCCGAAAAGGUAUCUCAUGCCAAGUUUGGCCUCACGAACUAAAAGUUAUAGAGUCAUACAUUUUUAACAAAACAAAAUAGAGAAAAACCGAAAAAAGAGGGAUGCAACACAAGGACUUUCCAGGAGGUCACCCAUCCUAGUACUACUCUCGCCCAAGCACCCUUAACUGCGGAGUUCUGAUGGGAUCCGGUGCAUUAGUGCUGGUAUGAUCGCAUGUGUUACUACAUGCAAUGUAAUCGUAUCUAUUCUUUUUUAAAGAUUUUAUGAUCCAUUUGCCGUGGGUCCCACCAGCUAUGUAGGAAUACCCUAUCUUCUUUAUAAGAGCUUUGAUACAUACAAAAUAUUGGAUCACAAUGUCAGAACAUAUAAUUUUCCCCCCUUAAUAUAGCAAAGAUCACUAAAAGGCCCGAAAAAAUACAUUUAGUUCAAAAUUUGGAGUAGAAAAAAAAACAAUAAAAGAAUUCCAUUUUCCUUCCUCAGUUAUCGGAGAACUCUCUUUGGGCUUUCCGAAAAGGUAUCACAUGCCAAGUUUGGCCUCACGGUCUAAAAGAUAUAGAGUCAUACAUUAUUAACAAAACAAAAUAGAGAAAAACCGAAAAAAAUAGGGAUGCAACACGAGGACUAUCCUGGAGGUCACCCAUCCUAGUACUAAUCUCGCCCAACCACCCUUAACUGCGUAGUUCUGAUGGGAUCCGAUGCAUUAGUGCUGGUAUGAUCGCAUUUGUUACUAUAUGCAAUAUAAUCGUAUCUAUUCUUUUUUAAAGACUUUAUGAUCCAUUUGCCGUGGGUCCCACCAGCUAUGUAGGAUACCCUAUCUUCAUAAUAAGAGCUUUGAUAAAUGCAAAAUAUUGGAAAACAAUGUCCGAACAUAUAAUUUCCCCCCCCCCCCCCGGUAAUAUAGCAAAGAUCACGAAAUAGCCCAAAAAAGUACAUUUAGGUCAAAAUUUGAGUAGAAAAAAAACAAAUAGAGGAAUUCCAUUUUCCGUCCUCAUUCAUCGGAGAGCUCUCUUUCGGCUUUCCGAAAAGGUAUCACAUGCCAAGUUUGGCCUCACGGUCUAAAAGUUAUAGAGUCAUACAUUUUAAACAAAACAAAAUAGAGAAAAACCGAAAAAAAGAAGGAUGCAACACGAGGACUUUCCGGGAGGUCACCCAUCCUAGUACUACUCUCGCCCAAGCACCCUUAACUGCGGAGUUCUGAUGGGAUCAGGUGCAUUAGUGCUGGUAUGAUCGCAUGUGGUACUACAUGCAAUGUAAUCGUAUAUAUUCUUUUUUAAAGACUUUAUGAUCCAUUUGCCGUGGGUCCCACCAGCUAUGUAGGAAUACCCUAUCUUCUUUAUAAGAGCUUUGAUACAUGCAAAAUAUUUGAAAACAAUGUCCGAACAUAUAAUUUUCCCCCCGUUAUAUAGCAAAGAUCACGAAAAGGCCCGAAAAAGUACAUUUAGUUCAAAAUUUGGAGUAGAAAAAAAGACAAUAGAAGAAUUUCAUUUUCCUUCCUCAGUAAUCGGAGAGCUCUCUUUGGGCUUUCCGAAAAGGUAUCACAUGCCAAGUUUGGCUUCACGGUAUAAAAGUUAUAGAGUCAUACAUUUUUAACAAAAAAAAACUAGAAAAACAGAAAAAAAGAGGGAUGCAAUACGAGGACUUUCCAGGAGGUCACCCAUCCUAGUACAACUCUCGCCGAAGCACGCUUAACUGCGGUGUUCAGAUGGGAUCUGGUGCAUUAGUGCUGGUAUGAUGGCAUUUGUUACUACAUGCAAUGCAAUCGUAUCUAUUCUUUUGUAAAGACUUUAUGAUCCAUUUGCCGUGGGUUCCACCAGCUAUGUAGGAAUACCCUAUCUUGUUUAUAAGAGAUUUGAUACAUGCAAAAUAUUCGAACACAAUGUCCGAACAUAUAAUUUUUGCCCCGUAAUAUAGCAAAGAUCACGAAAAGGCCCGAAAAAGUACAUUAAGGUCAAAAUUUGGAGUAGAAAAAAAACACAAUAGAAGUAUUCCAUUGUCCUUCGUCAUUCAUCGAAGAGCUCUCUUUGGGCUUUUCGAAAUGAUAUCAUAUGCCAAGUUUGGCCUCACGGUCUAAAAUUUAUAGAGUCAUACAUUUUUAACAAAACAAAAAGAGAAAAACCGAAAAAAAGAGGGAUGCAACACGAGGACUUUCCUGGAGGUCACCCAUCCUAGUACUACUCUCGCCCAAGCACCCUUAACUGCGUAGUUCUGAUGGGAUCCGAUGCAUUAGUGCUGGUAUGAUCGAAUCUGUUACUACAUGUAAUGCAAUCAUAUAUAUUCUUUUUUGAAGACUUUAUGAUCCAUUUGCCGUAGGUCCCACCAGCUAUGUAGGAAUACCCUAUCUCGUUUAUAAGAGCUUUGAUACAUGCAAAAUAUUCGAAAACAAUGUCCGAACAUAUAAUGUUUGCCCCAAAAUAUAGCAAAGACCACGAAAAUGCCAUAAAAAGUACAUUAAGGUCAAAAUUUGGAGUAGGAAAAAAAAUCAAUAGGAGAAUUCCAUUUUCCUUCCUCAUUCAUCGGAGAGCUCUCUUUGGGCAUUCCAAAAAGGUAUGACAUGCCAAGUUUGGCCUCACGGUCUAAAAGUUAUAGAGUAAUACAUUUUUAACAAAAAAAAAAGAGAANAAACCGAAAAAAAGAGGGAUGCAACACGAAGACUUUUCUGGAGGUCAUCCAUCCUAGUACUACUCUCCCCCAAGCACGCUUAACUGUGGUGUUCUGAUAGGAUCAAGUGCAUUAGUGCUGGUAUGAUCGCAUCAGUUACUACAUGCAAUGCAAUCAUAUAUAUNNNNNNNNNNNNNNNNNNNNNNNNNNNNNNNNNNNNNNNNNNNNNNNNNNAAAGUCAAAAUUUGGAGUAGAAAAAAACCCAAUAGAAGUAUUCCAUUCUCCUUCGUCAUUCAUCGGAGAGCUCUCUUUAGGCUUUCCGAAAAGAUAUCACAUGCCAAGUUUGGCCUCACGGUUUAAAAGUUAUAGAGUCAUAGAUUUUUAACAAAACAAAAAGAGAAAAACCGAAAAAAAUUGGGAUGCAACACGAGGACUUUCCUGGAGGUCACCCAUCCUAGUACUACUCUCGCCCAAGCACCCUUAACUGCGUAGUUCUGAUGGGAUCCGAUGCUNUAGUGCUGGUAUGAUCGCAUCUGUUACUACAUGCAAUGUAAUCGUAUCUAUUCUUUNUUAAAGACUUUAUGAUCCAUUUGCCGUGGGUCCCACCAGCUAUGUAGGAAUACCCUAUCUUCUNUAUAAGAGCNUUUGAUAAAUGCANAAUAUUGGAAACCAAUGUCCGAACAUAUAAUUUCGCCCCCGUAAUAUAGCANAGAUCACGAAAAAGCCCAAAAAAGUUCAUUUAGGUCAAAAUUUGAGCAGAAGAAAAAGAAAUAGAAGAAUUCCAUUUUCCUUCCUCAUUUAUUGGAGAGCUCUCUUUGGGCUUUCCGAAAAGGUAUCACAUGCCAAGUUUGGCCUCACGGUCUAAAAGUUAUAGAGUCAUACAUUUUUAACAAAAUGAAAUAGAGAAAAACCGAAAAAAAGAGGGAUGUAACACGAGGACUUUCCGGGAGGUAAUCUAUCCUACUACUACUCUCGGCCAAGCACCCUUAACUGCGGAGUUCUAAUGGGAUCCGGUGCAUUAGUGCUGGUAUGAUCGCAUGUGUUACUACAUGCAAUGUAAUCGUAUCUAUUCUUUUUUAAAGACUUUAUGAUCCAUUUGCCGUGGGUCCCACCAGCUAUGUAGGAAUACCCUAUCUUCUUUAUAAGAGCUUUGAUACAUGCAAAAUAUAUGAAAAAAACGUCCGAACAUAUAAUUUUCCCCCCGUAAUAUAGCAAAGAUCAUGAAAAGGCCCAAAAAAGUACAUUAAUGUCAAAAUUUGGCGUAGAAAAAAAACCAAUAGACAUAUUCCAUUGUCCUUCGUCAUUCAUUGAAGAGCUCUCUUUGGGCUUUCCGAAAAGGUAUCACAUGCCAAGUUUGGCCUCACGGUCUAAAAGUUAUAGAGUCAUACAUUUUUAACAAUACAAAAUAGAGAAAAACCGAAAAAAAGAGGGAUGCAACACGAGGACUUUCCGGGAGGUAAUCCAUCCUAGUACUACUCUCGCCCAAGCACCCUUAACUGCGGAGUUCUGAUGGGACCCGGUGCAUUAGUGCUGGUAUGAUCGCAUCUGUUACUAUAUGCAAUGUAAUCGUAUCUAUUCUUUUUUAAAGACUUUAUGAUCCAUUUGCCGUGGGUCCCACCAGCUAUGUAGGAAUACCCUAUCUUCUUUAUAAGAGCUUUGAUAUAUGCAAAAUAUUGGAACACCAUGUCCGAACAUAUAAUUUUUCCCGUGUAAUAUAGCAAAGAUCAAGAAAAAGAAAAAAAAGUACAUUUAGGUCAAAAUUUGAGUAGAAAAAAACAAAUAGAAGAAUUCCAUUUUCCUUCCUCAUUCAGCUGAGAGCUCUCUUUGGGCUUUCCGAAAAGGUAUCAUAUGCCAAGUUUGGCCUCACAGUGUAAAAGUUAUAGAGUCUAACAUUUUUAACAAAACAAAAUAGAGAAAAACCAAAAAAAGAGGGAUGCAACACGAGGACUUUCUGGGAGGUCACCCAUCCUAGUACUACUCUCGCCCAAGCACCCUUAACUGCGGAGUUCUGAUGGGAUCCGGUGCAUUAGUGCUGGUAUGAUCGCAUGUGUUACUACAUGCAAUGUAAUCCUAUCUAUUCUUUCUUAAAGACUUUAUGAUCCAUUUGCCGUGAGUCCCACCAGCUAUGUAGGAAUACCCUAUCUUCUUUAUAAGAGCUUUGAUACAUGCAAAAUAUUGGAAAACAAUGUCCGAACAUAUAGUUUUCCCCCGUAAUAUAGCAAAGAUCACGAAAAGGCCCGAAAAAGUACAUUUAGUUCAAAAUUGGGAGUAGAAAAAAAAAACAAUAGAAGAAUUCCAUUUUACUUCCUCAGUCAUCGGAGAGCUCUCUUUGGGCUUUCCGAAAAGGUAUCACAUGCCCAGUUUGGCCUCACGGUCUAAAAGUUAUAAAGUCAUACAUUUUUAACAAAAAAAAAAGAGAAAAACCGAAAAAAAGAGGGAUGCAAUACGAGGACUUUCCACGAGGUCACCCAUCCUAGUACAACUCUCGCCAAAGCAUGCUUAACUGCGGAGUUUAGAUGGGAUCUGGUGCAUUAGUGCUGGUAUGAUCGCAUCUGUUACUACAUGCAAUGCAAUCGUAUCUAUUCUUAUUUAAAGACUUUAUCAUCCAUUUGCCAUGGGUCCCACCUGUAGGAAUACCCAAUCUUGUUUAUAAGAGCUUUGAUACAUGCAAAAUAUUCGAAAACAACGUCCGAACAUAUAAUUUUCGCCCCGUAAUAUAGCAAAGAUCACGAAAAGGCCCGAAAAAGUACAUUAAGGUCAAAAUUUGGAAUAGAAAAAAAAACCAAAAGAAGUAUUCCAUUGUCCUUUGUCAUUCAUCGAAGAGCUCUCUUUGGGCUUUCCGAAAAGGUAUCGCAAGCCAAGUUUGGCCUCACGGUUUAAAAGUUAUAAAGUCAUACAUUUUUAACAAAAAAAAAAAGAGAAAAAACCGAAAAAAAGAGGGAUGCAACACGAGGACUUUUCUGGAGGUCACCCAUCCUAGUACUACUCUCGCCCGAUCACCCUUAACUGCGUAGUUUUGAUGGGAUUCGAUGCAUUAGUGCUGGUAUGAUCGCAUCUGUUACUACAUGCAAUGUAAUCGUAUCUAUUCUUUUUUAAAGACUUUAUGAUCCAUUUGCCGUGGGUCCCACCAGCUAUGUAGGAAUACCCUAUCUUCUUUAUAAGAGCUUUGAUAUAUGCAAAAUAGUGGAAAACCAUGUCCGAACAUAUAAUUUUUCCCCUGUAAUAUAGCAAAGAUCAAGAAAAAGCCAAAAAAAGUAUAUUUAGGUCAAAAUUUGGAGUAGAAAAAAAAACAAUAGAAGAAUUCCAUUUUCCUUCCUCAGUCAUCGGAGAGCUCUCUUUCGGCUUUCCGAAAAGGUAUCAAAUGCCAAGUUUGGCCUCACGGUCUAAAAGUUAUAGAGUCAUACAUUUUUAACAAUACAAAGUAGAGAAAACCGGAAAAAAGAGGGAUGCAACAUGAGGACUUUCCGGGAGGUAAUCCAUCCUAGUACAACUCUUGCCCAAGCACCCUUAACUGCGGAGUUCUGAUGGAAUCCGGUGCAUUAGUGCUGGUAUGAUCGCAUGUGUUACUACAUGNNNNNNNNNNNNNNNNNNNNNNNNNNNNNNNNNNNNNNNNNNNNNNNNNNCCAAAAAGGUAUCACAUGCCAAGUUUGGCCUCNCGGUCUAAAAGUUAUAGAGUCAUACAUUUUUAACAAACCAAAAUAGAGAAAACCGGAAAAAAGAGGGAUGCAACACGAGGACUUUCCGGGAGGUCACCCAUCCUAGUACUACUUUCGCCCAAGCACCCUUAACUGCGGAGUUCUGAUGGGAUCCGGUGCAUUAGUGCUGGUAUGAUCGCAUGUGUUACUACAUGCAAUGUAAUCAUAUUUCUUGUUAUUUAAAGAUUUUAUGAUCCAUUUGCCGUGGGUCCCACCAUCUAUGUAGGAAUACCUUAUCUUCUUUAUAGGAGCUUUGAUACAUGCAAAAUAUUGGAAAACAAUAUCCGAACAUAUAUCUUUCCCCCCGUAAUAUAGCAAAGAUCGCGAAAAGGCCCGAAAAAGUACAUUUAGGUCAAAAUUUGGAGAGGAAAAAAAAAGCAAUAGAAGAAUUCCAUUUUCCUUCCUCAGUCAUCGGAGAGCUCUCUUUGGGCUUUCCGAAAAGGUAUCACAUGCCAAGUUUGGCCUCAUGGUCUAAAAGUUAUAGAGCCAUACAUUUUUAACAAAACAAAAUAGAGAAAAACCAAAAAAAGAGAGGGAUGCAACACGAGGACUUUCCGGGAGGUCACCCAUCCUAGUACUACUCUCGCCCAAGCACCCUUAACUGCGGAGUUCUGAUGGGAUCCAGUGCAUUAGUGCUGGUAUGAUCGCAUGUGUUACUACAUGCAAUGUAAUCGUAUCUAUUCUUUUUUAAAGAUUAUAUGAUCCAUUUGCCGUGGGUCCCACCAGCUAUGUAGGAAUACCCUAUCUUCUUUAUAAGAGCUUUGAUACAUGCAAAAUAUUGGAAAACAAUGUCCGAACAUAUAAUUUUCCCCCCGUAAUAUAGCAAAGAUCACGAAAAGGCCCAAAAAAGUACAUUUAGGUCAAAAUUUGGAGUUGAAAAAAAACAAAAAGAAGAAUUCCAUUUUCCUUCCUCAUUCAUUGGAGAGCUCUCUUUGGGCUUUCCGAAAAGGUAUCACAUGCCAUGUUUAGCCUCACGGUCUAAAAGUUAUAGAGUCAUACAUUUUUAACAAAACAAAAUAGAGAAAAACCAAAAAAACGAGGGAUGCAACACGAGGACUUUCUGGGAAGUCACCCAUCCUAGUACUACUCUCGCCCAAGCACCCUUAACUGCGGAGUUCUGAUGGGAUCCGGUGCAUUAGUGCUGGUAUGAUCGCAUGUGUUACUACAUGCAAUGUAAUCGUAUCUAUUGCUUUUAAAGACUUUAUGAUCCAUUUGCCGUGGGUCCCACCAGCUAUGUAGGAAUACCCUAUCUUCUUUAUAAGAGUUUUCAUACAUGCAAAAUAUUGGAAAACAAUGUCCGAACAUAUAAUUUUCCCCCCGUAAUAUAGCAAAGAUCACGAAAAGGCCCAAAAAAGUACAUUUAGUUCAAAAUUUGGAGUAGAAAAAAAAAUAAUAGAAAAUUUCCAAUUUCCUUCUUCAUUCAUCGGAGAGCUCUCUUUGGGCUUUCCGAAAAGGUAUCACAUGCCAAGUUUGGCCUCACGGUCUAAAAGUUAUAAAGUCAUACAUUUUUAACAAAACAAAAUAGAGAAAAACGGAAAAAGAGGGAUGCAACACGUGGACUUUCCGGGAGGUCACCCAUCCUAGUACUACUCUCGUCCAAGGACCCUUAACUGCGGAGUUCUGUUGGGAUCCGUUGCAUUAGUGCUGGUAUGAUCGCAUGUGUUACUACAUGCAAUGUAAUCGUAUCUAUUCUUUUUUAAAGACUUUAUGAUCCAUUUGCCGUGGGUCCCACCAACUAUGUAGGAAUACCCUAUCUUCUUUAUAAGAGCUUUGAUACAUGCAAAAUAUUGGAAAACAAUGUCCGAACACAUAAUUUUUCCCCCAUAAUAUAACAAAGAUCACGAAAAGGCCCGAAAUAGUACAUUUAGUUCAAAAUUUGGAGUAGAAAAAAAACCAGUUUAAGAAUUCCAUUUUCCUUCCUCAUUCAUCGGAGAGCUCUCUUUGGACUUUCCGAAAAGGUAUCACAUGCCAAGUUUGGCCUCACGGUCUAAAAGUUAUAGAGUCAUACAUUUUUAACAAAACAAAAUAGAGAAAAACAGAAAAAAGAGGGAUGCAACACGAGGACUUUCCGGGAGGUCACCCAUCCUAGUACUACUCUCGCCCAAGCACCCUUAACUGCAGAGUUCUGCUGGGAUCCGGUGCAUUAGUGCUGGUAUGAUCGCAUCUGUUACUACAUGCAAUGUAAUCGUAUCUAUUCUUUUUUAAAGCUUUUAUGAUCCAUUUGCCGUGGGUCCCACCAGCUAUGUAGGAAUACCCUAUCUUCUUUAUAAGAGCUUUGAUACAUGCAAAAUAUUGGAAAACAAUGUCCGAACAUAUAAUUUCCCCCCUCGUAAUAUAGCAAAGAUCACAAAAAGGCUCGAAAAAGUACAUUUAGUUCAAAAUUUGGAGUAGAAAAAAACCAACAGAAAAAUUCCAAUUUCCUCCCUCAUUCAUCGGAGAGCUCUCUUUGGGCUUUCCAAAAAGGUAUCACAUGCCAAGUUUGGCCUCACGGUCUAAAAGUUAUAGAGUCAUACAUUUUUAACAAAACAAAAUAGAGAAAAACGGAAAAAAGAGGGAUGCAACACGAGGACUUUCCGGGAGGUCACCCAUCCUAGUACUACUCUCGUCCAAGGACCCUUAACUGCGAAGUUCUGAUGGGAUCCGUUGCAUUAGUGCUGGUAUGAUCGCAUGUGUUACUACAUGCAAUGUAAUCGUAUCUAUUCUUUUUUAAAGACUUUAUGAUCCAUUUGCCGUGGGUCCCACCAGCUAUAUAGGAAAACCCAAUCUUCUUUAUAAGAGCUUUGAUACAUGCAAAAUAUUGGAAAACAAUGUCCGAACAUAUAAUUUUCCCCCAUAAUAUAGCAAAGAUCACGAAAAGGCCCGAAAAAGUACAUUUAGUUCAAAAUUUGGAGUAGAAAAAAAGACAGUAAAAGAAUUCCAUUUUCCUUCCUCAGUGAUCGGAGAGCUCUCUUUGGACUUUCCGAAAAGGUAUCACAUGCCAAGUUUGGCCUCACGGUCUAAAAGUUAUAGAGUCAUACAUUUUUAACAAAACAAAAUAGAGAAAAACGGAAAAAAGAGGGAUGCAACACGAGGACUUUCCGGGAGGUCACCCAUCCUAGUACUACUUUCGCCCAAGCACCCUUAACUGCGGAGUUCUGAUGGGAUCCGGUGCAUUAGUGCUGGUAUGAUCGCAUGUGUUACUACAUGCAAUGUAAUCAUAUUUCUUGUUAUUUAAAGAUUUUAUGAUCCAUUUGCCGUGGGUCCCACCAUCUAUGUAGGAAUACCUUAUCUUCUUUAUAGGAGCUUUGAUACAUGCAAAAUAUUGGAAAACAAUAUCCGAACAUAUAUCUUUCCCCCCGUAAUAUAGCAAAGAUCGCGAAAAGGCCCGAAAAAGUACAUUUAGGUCAAAAUUUGGAGAAGAAAAAAAAAGCAAUAGAAGAAUUCCAUUUUCCUUCCUCAGUCAUCGGAGAGCUCUCUUUGGGCUUUCCGAAAAGGUAUCACAUGCCAAGUUUGGCCUCAUGGUCUAAAAGUUAUAGAGCCAUACAUUUUUAACAAAACAAAAUAGAGAAAAACCAAAAAAAGAGAGGGAUGCAACACGAGGACUUUCCGGGAGGUCACCCAUCCUAGUACUACUCUCGCCCAAGCACCCUUAACUGCGGAGUUCUGAUGGGAUCCAGUGCAUUAGUGCUGGUAUGAUCGCAUGUGUUACUACAUGCAAUGUAAUCGUAUCUAUUCUUUUUUAAAGAUUAUAUGAUCCAUUUGCCGUGGGUCCCACCAGCUAUGUAUGAAUACCCUAUCUUCUUUAUAAGAGCUUUGAUACAUGCAAAAUAUUGGAAAACAAUGUCCGAACAUAUAAUUUUCCCCCCGUAAUAUAGCAAAGAUCACGAAAAGGCCCAAAAAAGUACAUUUAGGUCAAAAUUUGGAGUUGAAAAAAAACAAAAAGAAGAAUUCCAUUUUCCUUCCUCAUUCAUUGGAGAGCUCUCUUUGGGCUUUCCGAAAAGGUAUCACAUGCCAUGUUUAGCCUCACGGUCUAAAAGUUAUAGAGUCAUACAUUUUUAACAAAACAAAAUAGAGAAAAACCAAAAAAACGAGGGAUGCAACACGAGGACUUUCUGGGAAGUCACCUAUCCUAGUACUACUCUCGCCCAAGCACCCUUAACUGCGGAGUUCUGAUGGGAUCCGGUGCAUUAGUGCUGGUAUGAUCGCAUGUGUUACUACAUGCAAUGUAAUCGUAUCUAUUGCUUUUAAAGACUUUAUGAUCCAUUUGCCGUGGGUCCCACCAGCUAUGUAGGAAUACCCUAUCUUCUUUAUAAGAGUUUUCAUACAUGCAAAAUAUUGGAAAACAAUGUCCGAACAUAUAAUUUUCCCCCCGUAUAUAGCAAAGAUCACGAAAAGGCCCAAAAAAGUCCUUUAAGGUCAAAAUUUGAAGUUGAAAAAAAACAAAAAGAAAAAUUCCAUUUUCCUUCCUCAUUCAUUGAAAAGCUCUCUUUGGGCUUUCCGAAAAGGUAUCACAUGCCAUGUUUAGCCUCACGGUCUAAAAGUUAUAGAGUCAUACAUUUUUAACAAAACAAAAUAGAGAAAAACCAAAAAAACGAGGGAUGCAACACGAGGACUUUCUGGGAAGUCACCUAUCCUAGUACUACUCUCGCCCAAGCACCCUUAACUGCGGAGUUCUGAUGGGAUCCGGUGCAUUAGUGCUGGUAUGAUCGCAUGUGUUACUACAUGCAAUGUAAUCGUAUCUAUUGCUUUUAAAGACUUUAUGAUCCAUUUGCCGUGGGUCCCACCAGCUAUGUAGGAAUACCCUAUCUUCUUUAUAAGAGUUUUCAUACAUGCAAAAUAUUGGAAAACAAUGUCCGAACAUAUAAUUUUCCCCCCGUAAUAUAGCAAAGAUCACGAAAAGGCCCAAAAAAGUACAUUUAGUUCAAAAUUUGGAGUAGAAAAAAAAACAAUAGAAAAUUUCCAAUUUCCUUCUUCAUUCAUCGGAGAGCUCUCUUUGGGCUUUCCGAAAAGGUAUCACAUGCCAAGUUUGGCCUCACGGUCUAAAAGUUAUAAAGUCAUACAUUUUUAACAAAACAAAAUAGAGAAAAACGGAAAAAGAGGGAUGCAACACGUGGACUUUCCGGGAGGUCACCCAUCCUAGUACUACUCUCGUCCAAGGACCCUUAACUGCGGAGUUCUGUUGGGAUCCGUUGCAUUAGUGCUGGUAUGAUCGCAUGUGUUACUACAUGCAAUGUAAUCGUAUCUAUUCUUUUUUAAAGACUUUAUGAUCCAUUUGCCGUGGGUCCCACCAACUAUGUAGGAAUACCCUAUCUUCUUUAUAAGAGCUUUGAUACAUGCAAAAUAUUGGAAAACAAUGUCCGAACAUAUAAUUUUUCCCCCAUAAUAUAACAAAGAUCACGAAAAGGCCCGAAAAAGUACAUUUAGUUCAAAAUUUGGAGUAGAAAAAAACCAGUUUAAGAAUUCCAUUUUCCUUCCUCAUUCAUCGGAGAGCUCUCUUUGGACUUUCCGAAAAGGUAUCACAUGCCAAGUUUGGCCUCACGGUCUAAAAGUUAUAGAGUCAUACAUUUUUAACAAAACAAAAUAGAGAAAAACAGAAAAAAGAGGGAUGCAACACGAGGACUUUCCGGGAGGUCACCCAUCCUAGUACUACUCUCGCCCAAGCACCCUUAACUACAGAGUUCUGCUGGGAUCCGGUGCAUUAGUGCUGGUAUGAUCGCAUCUGUUACUACAUGCAAUGUAAUCGUAUCUAUUCUUUUUUAAAGCUUUUAUGAUCCAUUUGCCGUGGGUCCCACCAGCUAUGUAGGAAUACCCUAUCUUCUUUAUAAGAGCUUUGAUACAUGCAAAAUAUUGGAAAACAAUGUCCGAACAUAUAAUUUCCCCCCUCGUAAUAUAGCAAAGAUCACAAAAAGGCUCGAAAAAGUACAUUUAGGUCAAAAUUUGGAGUAGAAAAAAAAACAAUAGAAGAAUUCCAUUUUCCUUCCUCAGUCAUUGGAGAGAUCUCUUUGGGCUUUGCGAAAAGGUAUCACAUGCCAAGUUUGGCCUCACGGUCUAAAAGUUAUAAAGUCAUACGUUUUUAGCAAAAAAAAAAGAGAAAAACCGAAAAAAAGAGGGAUGCAACACGAGGUCACCCAUUCUAGUACUACUCUCGCCCAAGCACCCUUAACUGCGUAGUUCUGAUGGGAUCUGAGGCAUUAGUGCUUGUAUGAUCGCAUCUGUUACUACAUGCAAUGUAAUCGUAAAUAUUCUUUUUUAAAGACUUUAUUAUCCAUUUGCCGUGGGUCCAACCAGCUAUGUAGGGAUACCCUAUCUUCUUUAUAAGAGCUUUGACACAUGCAAAAUAUUGGAAAAGAAUGUCCGAACAUAUUCUUUUCCCCCCGUAAUAUAGCAAAGAUCACGAAAAGGCCCGAAAAUGUAUAUUAAGUUCAAAAUUUGGAGUAGAAAAAAAAAACAAUAGAUGAAUUCCAUUUUCCUUCCUCAUUCAUUGGAGAGCUCUCUUUGGGCUUUCCGAAAAGGUAUGACAUUUCAAGUUUGGCCUCAUGGUCUCAAAGUUAUAAAGUCAUACAUUUUUCACAAAAAAAAAAAAAAGAAAAACCAAAAAAAAAAAGAGGGAUGUAACACGAGGACUUUUUUGGGAGGUCACCCAUCCUAGUACUACUCUCGCCCAAGCACGCUUAACUGCGGAGUUCUGAUGGGAUCCAGUUCAUUAGUGCUGGUAUGAUCGCAUGUGUUACUAUAUGCAAUGUAAUCGUAUCUAUUCUUUUUUAAUGACUUUAUGAUCCAUUUGCUGUGAGUCCCACCAGCUAUGUAGGAAUACCCUAUCUUCUCUAUAAGAGCUUUGAUACAUGCAAAAUAUUGGAAAACAAUGUCCGAACAUAUAGUUUUCCCCCCGUAAUAUAGCAAAGAUCACGAAAAGGCCCGAAAAGGUACAUUUAGUUCAAAAUUUGGAGUAGAAGAAAAAACAAUAGAAGAAUUCCAUUUCCCUUCCUCAGUCAUCGGAGAGCUCUCUUUGGGCUUUCCAAAAAGGUAUCACAUGCCAAGUUUGGCCUCACGGUCUAAAAGUUAUAGAGUCAUACAUUUUUAACAAUACAAAAUAGAGAAAAACCGAAAAAAAAGAGGGAUGCAACACGAGGACUUUCCGGGAGGUAAUCCAUCCUAGUACUACUCUCGCCCAAGCACCCUUAACUGCGGAGUUCUGAUGGGAUCCGAUGCAUUAGUGCUGGUAUGAUCGCAUGUGUUACUACAUGCAAUGUAAUCGUAUCUAUUCUUUUUUAAAGACUUUAUGAUCCAUUUGCCGUGGGUCCCACCAGCUAUGUAGGAUUAGCCUAUCUUGUUUAUAAGAGCUUUGAUACAUGCAAAAUAUUGGAAACCAAUGUCCAAACAUAUAAUUUUCACCCCGUAAUAUAGCAAAGAUCACGAAAAGUCCCGAAAAAGUACAUUUAGGUCAAAAUUUGGAAUAGAAAAAAAAAAAAUAGGAGUAUUCCAUUUUCCUUCCUCAUUCAUCGGAGAGCUCUCUUUGAGCUUUCUGAAAAGGUAUCACAUGCCAAGUUUGGCCUCACGGUCUAAAAGUUAUAGAGUCAUACAUUUUUAAAAAUACAAAAUAGAGAAAAACCGAAGAAAAGAGGGAUGCAACACGAGGACUUUCCGGGAGGUAAUCCAUCCUAGUACUACUCUCGCCCAAGCACCCUUAACUGCGAAGUUCUAAUGGAAUCCGGUACAUUAGUGCUGGUAUGAUCGCAUCUGUUACUAUAUGCAAUGUAAUCGUAUCUAUUCUUUUUUAAAGACUUUAUGAUCCAUUUGCCGUGGGUCUCACCAGCUAUGUAGGAAUACCCUAUCUUCUUUAUAAGAGCUUUGAUAUAUGCAAAAUAUUGGAACACCAUGUCCGAACAUAUAAUUUUUCCCGUGUAAUAUAGCAAAGAUCAAGAAAAAGCCAAAAAAGUACAUUUAGGUCAAAAUUUGAGUAGAAAAAAACAAAUAGAAGAAUUCUAUAUUCCUUCCUCAUUCGUCGGAGAGCUCUCUUUGGGCUUUCCGAAAAGGUAUCAUAUGCCAAGUUUGGCCUCGCGGUCUAAAAGUUACGGAGUCUAACAUUUUUAACAAAACAAAAUAGAGAAAAACCGAAAAAAGAGGGAUGCAACACGAGGACUUUCCGGGAGGUCACCCAUCCUAGUACUACUCUCGCCCAAGCACCCUUAACUGCGGAGUUCUGAUGGGAUCCGGUGCAUUAGUGCUGGUAUGAUCGCAUGUGUUACUACAUGCAAUGUAAUCGUAUCUAUUCUUUCUUAAAGACUUUAUGAUCCAUUUGCCGUGAGUCCCACCAGCUAUGUAGGAAUACCCUAUCUUCUUUAUAAGAGCUUUGAUACAUGCAAAAUAUUGGAAAACAAUGUCCGAACAUAUAGUUUUCCCCCCGUAAUAUAGCAAAGAUCACGAAAAGGCCCGAAAAAGUACAUUUAGUUCAAAAUUUGGAGUAGAAAAAAAAACAAUAGAAGAAUUCCAUUUUCCUUCCUCAUUCAUCGGAGAGCUCUCUUUGGGCUUUCCGAAAAAGUAUCACAUGCCAAGUUUGGCCUCACGGUCUAAACGUUAUAGAGUCAUACAUUUUUAACAAUACAAAAUAGAGAAAAACCGAAAAAAGAGGGAUGCUACACGAAGACUUUCCGGGAGGUAAUCCAUCCUAGUACUACUCUUGCCCAAGCACCCUUAACUGCGGAGUUCUGAUGGAAUCUGGUGCAUUAGUGCUGGUAUGAUCGCAUGUGUUACUACAUGCAAUGUAAUCGUAUCUAUUCUUUUUUAAAGACUUUAUGAUCCAUUUGCCGUGGGUCCCACCAGCUAUGUAGGAAUACCCUAUUUUCUUUAUAAGAGCUUUGAUACAUGCAAAAUAUAUGAAAAAAACGUUCGAACAUAUAAUUUUCCCCCCGUAAUAUAGCAAAGAUCACGAAAAGGCUCGAAAAAUUACAUUUAGUUCAAAAUUUUUAGUAGAAAAAACCCAAUAGAAGAAUUCCAUUUUCCUUCCUCAGUCAUCGGAGAGCUCUCUUUGGGCUUUCCGAAAAGGUAUCACAUGCCAAGUUUGGCCUCACGGUCUAAAAGUUAUAGAGUCAUACAUUUUUAACAAAACAAAAUUGAGAAAAACCGAAAAAAAGAGGGAUGCAACACGAGGACUCUCCAAAAGGUAACCCAUCUUAGUACUACUCUCGCCCAAGCACCCUUAACUGCGGAGUUCUGAUGGGACCCGGUGCAUUUGUGCUGGUAUGAUCGCAUGUGUCACUACAUGCAAUGUAAUCGUAUCUAUUCUUUUUUAAAGACUUUAUGAUCCAUUUGCAGUGGGUCCUACCAGCUAUGUAGGAAUACCCUACCUUCUUUAUAAGAGCUUUCAUACAUGCAUAAUAUUGGAAAACAAUGUCCGAAGAUAUAAUUUUCCCCCCAUAAUAUAGCAAAGAUCACGAAAAGGCCCGAAAAAGUACAUUAUGUUCAAAAUUUGGAGUCGAAAAAAAACCAAUAGAAGAAUUCCAUUUUACUUCCUUAGUCAUCGGAGAGCUCUCUUUGGGCUUUCCGAAAAGGUAUCACAUGCCAAGUUUGGCCUCACGGUCUAAAAGUUAUAGAGUCAUACAUUUUUAACAAAACAAAAUAGAGAAAAACGGGAAAAAAGAGGGAUGUAACACGAGGACAUUCCGGGAGGUCACCCAUCCUAGUACUACUCUUGCCCAAGCACCCUUAACUGCGGAGUUCUUAUGGGAUCCGGUGCAUUAGUGUUGGUAUGAUCGCAUGUGUUACUACAUGCAAUGUAAUCGUAUCUAUUCUUUUUAAAGACUUUAUGAUCCAUUUGCCGUGGGUCCCACCAGCUAUGUAGGAAUACCCUAUCUUCUUUAUAAGAGCUUUGAUACAUGUAAAAUAUUGGAAAACAAUGUCCGAAGAUAUAAUUUUCCCCCGUAAUAUAGCAAAGAUCACGAAAAGGCCCGAAAAUGUACAUUAAGUUCAAAAUUUGGAGUAGAAAAAAAAAACAAUAGAAGAAUUCCAUUUUCCUUCCUCAUUCAUCGGAGAGCUCUCUUUGGGCUUUCCGAAAAGGUAUGACAUUCCAAGUUUGGCCUCAUGGUCUCAAAUUUAUAAAGUCAUACAUUUUUCACAAAAAAAAAAUAAAGAAAAACCAAAAAAAAAAAAGAGGGAUGUAACACGAGGACUUUUUUGGGAGGUCACCCAUCCUAGUACUACUCUCGCCCAAGCACGCUUAACUGCGGAGUUCUGAUGGGAUCCGGUUCAUUAGUGCUGGUAUGAUCACAUGUGUUACUACAUGCAAUGUAAUCGUAUCUAUUCUUUUUUAAAGACUUUAUGAUCCAUUUGCCGUGAGUCCCACCAGCUAUGUAGGAAUACCCUAUCUUCUCUAUAAGAGCUUUGAUACAUGCAAAAUAUUGGAAAACAAUGUCCGAACAUAUAGUUUUCCCCCCGUAAUAUAGCAAAGAUCACGAAAAGGCCCGAAAAAGUACAUUUAGUUCAAAAUUUGGAGUAGAAAAAAAAACAAUAAAAGAAUUUCAUUUCCCUUCCUCAGUCAUCGGAGAGCUCUCUUUGGGCUUUCCAAAAAGGUAUCACAUGCCAAGUUUGGCCUCACGGUCUAAAAGUUAUAGAGUCAUACAUUUUUAACAAUACAAAAUAGAGAAAAACCGAAAAAAAAGAGGGAUGCAACACGAGGACUUUCCGGGAGGUAAUCAAUCCUAGUACUACUCUAGCCCAAGCACCCUUAACUGCGGAGUUCUAAUGGAAUCCAGUGCAUUAGUGCGGGUAUGAUCGCAUGUGUUACUACAUGCAAUGUAAUCGUAUCUAUUCUUUUUUAAAGACUUUAUGAUCCAUUUGCCGUGGGUCCCACCAGCUAUGUAGGAAUACACUAUCUUCUUUAUAAGAGCUUUGAUACAUGCAAAAUAUUGGAAAAAAACGUCCGAACAUAUAAUUUUCCCCACGUAAUAUAGCAAAGAUCACGAAAAUGCCCCAAAAAGUACAUUUAGUUCAAAAUUUGGAGUAGAAAAAAAAACAAUAGAAGAAUUACAUUUUCCUUCCUCACUCAUCGGAGAGCUCUCUUUGGGCUUUUCGAAAAGGUACCACAUGCCAAGUUUGGCCUCACGGUCUAAAAGUUAUAGAGUCAUACAUUUUUAACAAAAUAAAAUUGAGAAAAACCGAAAAAAAGAGGGAUGCAACACGAGGACUCUCCAGAAGGUAACCCAUCUUAGUACUACUCUCGCUCUUGCACCCUUAACUAUGGAGUUCUGAUGGGACCCGGUGCAUUAGUGCUGGUAUGAUCGCAUCUGUUACUAUAUGCAAUGUAAUCGUAUCUAUUCUUUUUUAAAGACUUUAUGAUCCAUUUGCCGUGGGUCCCACCAGCUAUGUAGGAAUACCCUAUCUUCUUUAUAAGAGCUUUGAUAUAUGCAAAAUAUUGGAUUACCAUGUCCGAACAUAUAAUUUUUCCCGUGUAAUAUAGCAAAGAUCAAGAAAAAGCCAAAAAAGUACAUUUAGGUCAAAAUUUGAGUAGAAAAAAACAAAUAGAAGAAUUCCAUUUUCCUUCCUCAUUCACCGUAGAGCUCUCAUUGGGCUUUCCGAAAAGGUAUCAUAUGCCAAGUUUGGCCUCACGGUCUAAAAGUUAUAGAGUCUAACAUUCUUAACAAAACAAAAUAGAGAAAAACCGAAAAAAGAGGGAUGCAACACGAGGACUUUCCGGGAGGUCACCCAUCCUAGUACUACUCUCGCCCAAGGACCCUUAACUGCGGAGUUCUGAUGGGAUCCGUUGCAUUAGUGCUGGUAUGAUCGCAUGUGUUACUACAUGCAAUGUAAUCGUAUCUAUUCUUUCUUAAAGACUUUAUGAUCCAUUUGCCGUGCGUCCCACCAGCUAUGUAGGAAUACCCUAUCUUCUUUAUAAGAGCUUUGAUACAUGCAAAAUAUUGGAAAACAAUGUCCGAACAUAUAGUUUUCCCCCCGUAAUAUAGCAAAGAUCACGAAAAGGCCCGAAAAAGUACAUUUAGUUCAAAAUUUGGAGUAGAAAAAAAAACAAUAGAAGAAUUCCAUUUUCCUUCCUCAGUCAUCGGAGAGCUCUCUUUGGGCUUUCCGAAAAGGUAUCACAUGCCAAGUUUGGCCUCACGGUCUAAACGUUAUAGAGUCAUACAUUUUUAACAAUACAAAAUAGAGAAAAACCGAAAAAAAGAGGGAUGCAACACGAAGACUUUCCGGGAGGUAAUCCAUCCUAGUACUACUCUUGCCAAAGCACCCUUAACUGCGGAGUUCUGAUGGAAUCUGGUGCAUUAGUGCUGGUAUGAUCGCAUGUGUUACUACAUGCAAUGUAAUCGUAUCUAUUCUUUUUUAAAGACUUUAUGAUCCAUUUGCCGUGGGUCCCACCAGCUAUGUACGAAUACCCUAUCUUCUUUAUAAGAGCUUUGAUACAUGCAAAAUAUAUGAAAAAAACGUCCGAACAUAUAAUUUUCCCCCCGUAAUAUAGCAAAGAUCAUGAAAAGGCCCAAAAAAGUACAUUAAGGUCAAAAUUUGGCGUAGAAAAAAAACCAAUAGACAUAUUCCAUUGGCCUUCGUCAUUCAUUGGAGAGCUCUCUUUGGGCUUUCCGAAAAGGUAUCACAUGCCAAGUUUGGCCUCACGGUCUAAAAGUUAUAGAGUCAUACAUUUUUAACAAUACAAAAUAGAGAAAAACCGAAAAAAAGAGGGAUGCAACACGAGGACUUUCCGGGAGGUAAUCCAUCCUAGUACUACUCUCGCCCAAGCACCCUUAACUGCGGAGUUCUAAUGGAAUCCGGUGCAUUAGUGCUGGUAUGAUCGCAUCUGUUACUAUAUGCAAUGUAAUCGUAUCUAUUCUUUUUUAAAGACUUUAUGAUCCAUUUGCCGUGGGUCCCACCAGCUAUGUAGGAAUACCCUAUCUUCUUUAUAAGAGCUUUGAUAUAUGCAAAAUAUUGGAUUACCAUGUCCGAACAUAUAAUUUUUCCCGUGUAAUAUAGCAAAGAUCAAGAAAAAGCCAAAAAAGUACAUUUAGGUCAAAAUUUGAGUAGAAAAAAACAAAUAGAAGAAUUCCAUUUUCCUUCCUCAUUCACCGCAGAGCUCUCUUUGGGCUUUCCGAAAAGGUAUCAUAUGCCAAGUUUGGCCUCACGGUCUAAAAGUUAUAGAGUCUAACAUUUUUAACAAAACAAAAUAGAGAAAAACCGAAAAAAGAGGGAUGCAACACGAGGACUUUCCGGGAGGUCACCCAUCCUAGUACUACUCUCGCCCAAGGACCCUUAACUGCGGAGUUCUGAUGGGAUCCGUUGCAUUAGUGCUGGUAUGAUCGCAUGUGUUACUACAUGCAAUGUAAUCGUAUCUAUUCUUUCUUAAAGACUUUAUGAUCCAUUUGCCGUGCGUCCCACCAGCUAUGUAGGAAUACCCUAUCUUCUUUAUAAGAGCUUUGAUACAUGCAAAAUAUUGGAAAACAAUGUCCGAACAUAUAGUUUUCCCCCCGUAAUAUAGCAAAGAUCACGAAAAGGCCCGAAAAAGUACAUUUAGUUCAAAAUUUGGAGUAGAAAAAAAAACAAUAGAAGAAUUCCAUUUUCCUUCCUCAGUCAUCGGAGAGCUCUCUUUGGGCUUUCCGAAAAGGUNNNNNNNNNNNNNNNNNNNNNNNNNNNNNNNNNNNNNNNNNNNNNNNNNNGAGAAAAACCGAAAAAAGAGGGAUGCAACACGAGGACUUUCCGGGAGGUCACCCAUCCUAGUACUACUCUCGCCCAAGGACCCUUAACUGCGGAGUUCUGAUGGGAUCCGUUGCAUUAGUGCUGGUAUGAUCGCAUGUGUUACUACAUGCAAUGUAAUCGUAUCUAUUCUUUCUUAAAGACUUUAUGAUCCAUUUGCCGUGCGUCCCACCAGCUAUGUAGGAAUACCCUAUCUUCUUUAUAAGAGCUUUGAUACAUGCAAAAUAUUGGAAAACAAUGUCCGAACAUAUAGUUUUCCCCCCGUAAUAUAGCAAAGAUCACGAAAAGGCCCGAAAAAGUACAUUUAGUUCAAAAUUUGGAGUAGAAAAAAAAACAAUAGAAGAAUUCCAUUUUCCUUCCUCAGUCAUCGGAGAGCUCUCUUAGGGCUUUCCGAAAAGGUAUCACAUGCCAAGUUUGGCCUCACGGUAUAAACGUUAUAGAGUCAUACAUUUUUAACAAUACAAAAUAGAGAAAAACCGAAAAAAAGAGGGAUGCAACACGAAGACUUUCCGGGAGGUAAUCCAUCCUAGUACUACUCUUGCCAAAGCACCCUUAACUGCGGAGUUCUGAUGGAAUCUGGUGCAUUAGUGCUGGUAUGAUCGCAUGUGUUACUACAUGCAAUGUAAUCGUAUCUAUUCUUUUUUAAAGACUUUAUGAUCCAUUUGCCGUGGGUCCCACCAGCUAUGUACGAAUACCCUAUCUUCUUUAUAAGAGCUUUGAUACAUGCAAAAUAUAUGAAAAAAACGUCCGAACAUAUAAUUUUCCCCCCGUAAUAUAGCAAAGAUCAUGAAAAGGCCCAAAAAAGUACAUUAAGGUCAAAAUUUGGCGUAGAAAAAAAACCAAUAGACAUAUUCCAUUGGCCUUCGUCAUUCAUUGGAGAGCUCUCUUUGGGCUUUCCGAAAAGGUAUCACAUGCCAAGUUUGGCCUCACGGUCUAAAAGUUAUAGAGUCAUACAUUUUUAACAAUACAAAAUAGAGAAAAACCGAAAAAAAGAGGGAUGCAACACGAGGACUUUCCGGGAGGUAAUCCAUCCUAGUACUACUCUCGCCCAAGCACCCUUAACUGCGGAGUUCUAAUGGAAUCCGGUGCAUUAGUGCUGGUAUGAUCGCAUCUGUUACUAUAUGCAAUGUAAUCGUAUCUAUUCUUUUUUAAAGACUUUAUGAUCCAUUUGCCGUGGGUCCCACCAGCUAUGUAGGAAUACCCUAUCUUCUUUAUAAGAGCUUUGAUAUAUGCAAAAUAUUGGAUUACCAUGUCCGAACAUAUAAUUUUUCCCGUGUAAUAUAGCAAAGAUCAAGAAAAAGCCAAAAAAGUACAUUUAGGUCAAAAUUUGAGUAGAAAAAAACAAAUAGAAGAAUUCCAUUUUCCUUCCUCAUUCACCGCAGAGCUCUCUUUGGGCUUUCCGAAAAGGUAUCAUAUGCCAAGUUUGGCCUCACGGUCUAAAAGUUAUAGAGUCUAACAUUUUUAACAAAACAAAAUAGAGAAAAACCGAAAAAAGAGGGAUGCAACACGAGGACUUUCCGGGAGGUCACCCAUCCUAGUACUACUCUCGCCCAAGGACCCUUAACUGCGGAGUUCUGAUGGGAUCCGUUGCAUUAGUGCUGGUAUGAUCGCAUGUGUUACUACAUGCAAUGUAAUCGUAUCUAUUCUUUCUUAAAGACUUUAUGAUCCAUUUGCCGUGCGUCCCACCAGCUAUGUAGGAAUACCCUAUCUUCUUUAUAAGAGCUUUGAUACAUGCAAAAUAUUGGAAAACAAUGUCCGAACAUAUAGUUUUCCCCCCGUAAUAUAGCAAAGAUCACGAAAAGGCCCGAAAAAGUACAUUUAGUUCAAAAUUUGGAGUAGAAAAAAAAACAAUAGAAGAAUUCCAUUUUCCUUCCUCAGUCAUCGGAGAGCUCUCUUUGGGCUUUCCGAAAAGGUAUCACAUGCCAAGUUUGGCCUCACGGUCUAAACGUUAUAGAGUCAUACAUUUUUAACAAUACAAAAUAGAGAAAAACCGAAAAAAAGAGGGAUGCAACACGAAGACUUUCCGGGAGGUAAUCCAUCCUAGUACUACUCUUGCCAAAGCACCCUUAACUGCGGAGUUCUGAUGGAAUCUGGUGCAUUAGUGCUGGUAUGAUCGCAUGUGUUACUACAUGCAAUGUAAUCGUAUCUAUACUUUUUUAAAGACUUUAUGAUCCAUUUGCCGUGGGUCCCACCAGCUAUGUACGAAUACCCUAUCUUCUUUAUAAGAGCUUUGAUACAUGCAAAAUAUAUGAAAAAAACGUCCGAACAUAUAAUUUUCCCCCCGUAAUAUAGCAAAGAUCACGAAAAGGCUCGAAAAAUUACAUUUAGUUCAAAAUUUGGAGUAGAAAAACCCCAAUAGAAGAAUUCCAUUUUACUUCCUUAGUCAUCGGAGAGCUCUCUUUGGGCUUUCCGAAAAGGUAUCACAUGCCAAGUUUGGCCUCACGGUCUAAAAGUUAUAGAGUCAUACAUUUUUAACAAAACAUAAUAGAGAAAAACGGGAAAAAGAGGGAUGUAACACGAGGACUUUCCGGGAGGUCACCCAUCCUAGUACUACUCUUGCCCAAGCACCCUUAACUGCGGAGUUCUGAUGGGAUCCGGUGCAUUAGUGUUGGUAUGAUCGCAUGUGUUACUACAUGCAAUGUAAUCGUAUCUAUUCUUUUUAAAGACUUUAUGAUCCAUUUGCCGUGGGUCCCACCAGCUAUGUAGGAAUACCCUAUCUUCUUUAUAAGAGCUUUGAUACAUGCAAAAUAUUGGAAAACAAUGUCCGAACAUAUUAUUUUCCCCCCGUAAUAUAGCAAAGAUCACGAAAAGGCCCGAAAAUGUACAUUAAGUUCAAAAUUUGGAGUAGAAAAAAAAAACAAUAGAAGAAUUCCAUUUUCCUUCCUCAUUCAUCGGAGAGCUCUCUUUGGGCUUUCCGAAAAGGUAUAACAUUCCAAGUUUGGCCUCAUGGUCUCAAAGUUAUAAAGUCAUACAUUUUUCACAAAAAAAAAUAAAGAAAAACAAAAAAAAAAAAGAGGGAUGUAACACGAGGACUUUUUUGGGAGGUCACCCAUCCUAGUACUACUCUCGCCCAAGCACCCUUAACUGCGGAGUUCUGAUGGGAUCCGUUGCAUUAGUGCUGGUAUGAUCGCAUGUGUUACUACAUGCAAUGUAAUCGUAUCUAUUCUUUCUUAAAGACUUUAUGAUCCAUUUGCCGUGAGUCCCACCAGCUAUGUAGGAACACCCUAUCUUCUUUAUAAGAGCUUUGAUACAUGCAAAAUAUUGGAAAAAAACGUCCGAACAUAUAAUUUUCCCCACGUAAUAUAGCAAAGAUCACGAAAAGGCCCCAAAAAGUACAUUUAGUUCAAAAUUUGGAGUAGAAAAAAAAACAAUAGAAGAAUUCCAUUUUCCUUCCUCAGUCAUCGGAGAGCUCUCUUUGGGCUUUCCGAAAAGGUAUCACAUGCCAAGUUUGGCCUCACGGUCUAAACGUUAUAGAGUCAUACAUUUUUAACAAUACAAAAUAGAGAAAAACCGAAAAAAAGAGGGAUGCAACACGAAGACUUUCCGGGAGGUAAUCCAUCCUAGUACUACUCUUUCCAAAGCACCCUUAACUGCGGAGUUCUGAUGGAAUCUGGUGCAUUAGUGCUGGUAUGAUCGCAUGUGUUACUACAUGCAAUGUAAUCGUAUCUAUUCUUUUUUAAAGACUUUAUGAUCCAUUUGCCGUGGGUCCCACCAGCUAUGUACGAAUACCCUAUCUUCUUUAUAAGAGCUUUGAUACAUGCAAAAUAUAUGAAAAAAACGUCCGAACAUAUAAUUUUCCCCCCGUAAUAUAGCAAAGAUCACGAAAAGGCUCGAAAAAUUACAUUUAGUUCAAAAUUUGGAGUAGAAAAACCCCUAUAGAAGAAUUCCAUUUUCCUUCCUCAGUCAUCGGAGAGCUCUCUUUGGGCUUUCCGAAAAGGUAUCACAUGCCAAGUUUGGCCUCACAGUCUAAAAGUUAUAGAGUCAUACAUUUUUAACAAAACAAAAUUGAGAAAAACCGAAAAAAAGAGGGAUGCAACACGAGGACUCUCCAGAAGGUAACCCAUCUUAGUACUACUCUCGCCCAAGCACCCUUAACUGCGGAGUUCUGAUGGGACCCGGUGCAUUAGUGCUGGUAUGAUCGCAUGUGUUACUACAUGCAAUGUAAUCGUAUCUGUUCUUUUUUAAAGACUUUAUGAUCCAUUUGCCGUGGGUCCUACCAGCUAUGUAGGAAUACCCUACCUUCUUUAUAAGAGUUUUGAUACAUGCAUAAUAUUGGAAAACAAUGUCCGAAGAUAUAAUUUUCCCCCCGUAAUAUAGCAAAGAUCACGAAAAGGCCCGGAAGAGUACAUUAAGUUCAAAAUUUGGAGUAUAAAAAAAACCAAUAGAAGAAUUCCAUUUUACUUCCUUAGUCAUCGGAGAGCUCUCUUUGGGCUUUCCGAAAAGGUAUCACAUGCCAAGUUUGGCCUCACGGUCUAAAAGUUAUAGAGUCAAACAUUUUAAACAAAACAUAAUAGAGAAAAACGGGAAAAAAGAGGGAUGUAACACGAGGACUUUCCGGGAGGUCACCCAUCCUAGUACUACUCUUGCCCAAGCACCCUUAACUGCGGAGUUCUGAUGGGAUCCGGUGCAUUAGUGUUGGUAUGAUCGCAUGUGUUACUACAUGCAAUGUAAUCGUAUCUAUUCUUUUUAAAGACUUUAUGAUCCAUUUGCCGUGGGUCCCACCAGCUAUGUAGGAAUACCCUAUCUUCUUUAUAAGAGCUUUGAUACAUGCAAAAUAUUGGAAAACAAUGUCCGAACAUAUUAUUUUCCCCCCGUAAUAUAGCAAAGAUCACGAAAAGGCCCGAAAAUGUACAUUAAGUUCAAAAUUUGGAGUAGAAAAAAAAAACAAUAGAAGAAUUCCAUUUUCCUUCCUCAUUCAUCGGAGAGCUCUCUUUGGGCUUUCCGAAAAGGUAUAACAUUCCAAGUUUGGCCUCAUGGUCUCAAAGUUAUAAAGACAUACAUUUUUCACAAAAAAAAAUAAAGAAAAACCAAAAAAAAAAAAGAGGAAUGUAACACGAGGACUUUUUUGGGAGGUCACCCAUCCUAGUACUACUCUCGCCCAAGCACCCUUAACUGCGGAGUUCUGAUGGGAUCCGUUGCAUUAGUGCUGGUAUGAUCGCAUGUGUUACUACAUGCAAUGUAAUCGUAUCUAUUCUUUCUUAAAGACUUUAUGAUCCAUUUGCCGUGAGUCCCACCAGCUAUGUAGGAAUACCCUAUCUUCUUUAUAAGAGCUUUGAUACAUGCAAAAUAUUGGAAAAAAACGUCCGAACAUAUAGUUUUCCCCCCGUAAUAUAGUAAAGAUCACGAAAAGGCUCGAAAAAGUACAUUUAGUUCAAAAUUUGGAGUAGAAAAAAAAACAUUAGUAGAAUUCCAUUUCCCUUCCUCAGUCAUCGGAGAGCUCUCUCUGGGCUUUCCAAAAAGGUAUCACAUGCCAAGUUUGGCCUCACGGUCUAAAAGUUAUAGAGUCAUACAUUUUUAACAAUACAAAAUAGAGAAAAACCGAAAAAAAAGAGGGAUGCAACACGAGGACUUUCCGGGAGGUAAUCCAUCCUAGUACUACUCUCGCCUAAGCACCCUUAACUGCGGAGUUCUAAUGGAAUCCAGUGCAUUAGUGCGGGUAUGAUCGCAUGUGUUACUACAUGCAAUGUAAUCGUAUCUAUUCUUUUUUAAAGACUUUAUGAUCCAUUUGCCGUGGGUCCCACCAGCUAUGUAGGAAUACACUAUCUUCUUUAUAAGAGCUUUGAUAGAGGCAAAAUAUUGGAAAAAAACGUCCGAACAUAUAAUUUUCCCCACGUAAUAUAGCAAAGAUCACGAAAAUGCCCCAAAAAGUACAUUUAGUUCAAAAUUUGGAGUAGAAAAAAAAACAAUAGAAGAAUUACAUUUUCCUUCCUCACUCAUCGGAGAGCUCUCUUUGGGCUUUCCGAAAAGGUAUCACAUGCCAAGUUUGGUCUCACGGUCUAAGAGUUAUAGAGUCAUACAUUUUUAACAAUACAAAAUAGAGAAAAACCGAAAAAAAGAGGGAUGCAACACGAAGACUUUCCGGGAGGUAAUCCAUCCUAGUACUACUCUUGCCCAAGCACCCUUAACUGUGGAGUUCUGAUGGAAUCUGGUGCAUUAGUGCUGAUAUGAUCGCAUGUGUUACUACAUGCAAUGUAAUCGUAUCUAUUCUUUUUUAAAGACUUUAUGAUCCAUUUGCCGUGGGUCCCACCAGCUAUGUAGGAAUACCCUAUCUUCUUUAUAAGAGCUUUGAUACAUGCAAAAUAUAUGAAAAAAACGUCCGAACAUAUAAUUUUCCCCCCGUAAUAUAGCAAAGAUCACGAAAAGGCUCGAAAAAUUACAUUUAGUUCAAAAGUCCCCCGUAUGAUGUCAUUUGUUACUACAUGCAAUGCAAUCAUAUCUAUUCUUAUUUAAAGACUUUAUGAUCCAUUUGUCGUGGGUCCCACCUGUAGGAAUACCCUAUCUUGUUUAUAAAAGAUUUGAUACAUGCAAAAUACUCGAAAACAAUGUCCGAACAUAUAAUUUUCACCCCGUAAUAUAGCAAAGAUCACGAAAAGGCCCGAAAAAGUACAUUAAAGUCAAAAUUUGGAGUAGAAAAAAACCCAAUAGAAGUAUUCCAUUCUCCUUCGUCAUUCAUCGGAGAGCUCUCUUUAGGCUUUCCGAAAAGAUAUCACAUGCCAAGUUUGGCCUCACGGUUUAAAAGUUAUAGAGUCAUAGAUUUUUAACAAAACAAAAAGAGAAAAACCGAAAAAAAUUGGGAUGCAACACGAGGACUUUCCUGGAGGUCACCCAUCCUAGUACUACUCUCGCCCAAGCACCCUUAACUGCGUAGUUCUGAUGGGAUCCGAUGCUUUAGUGCUGGUAUGAUCGCAUCUGUUACUACAUGCAAUGUAAUCGUAUCUAUUCUUUUUUAAAGACUUUAUGAUCCAUUUGCCGUGGGUCCCACCAGCUAUGUAGGAAUACCCUAUCUUCUUUAUAAGAGCUUUGAUAAAUGCAAAAUAUUGGAAACCAAUGUCCGAACAUAUAAUUUCGCCCCCGUAAUAUAGCAAAGAUCACGAAAAAGCCCAAAAAAGUUCAUUUAGGUCAAAAUUUGAGCAGAAGAAAAAGAAAUAGAAGAAUUCCAUUUUCCUUCCUCAUUUAUUGGAGAGCUCUCUUUGGGCUUUCCGAAAAGGUAUCACAUGCCAAGUUUGGCCUCACGGUCUAAAAGUUAUAGAGUCAUACAUUUUUAACAAAAUGAAAUAGAGAAAAACCGAAAAAAAGAGGGAUGUAACACGAGGACUUUCCGGGAGGUAAUCUAUCCUACUACUACUCUCGGCCAAGCACCCUUAACUGCGGAGUUCUAAUGGGAUCCGGUGCAUUAGUGCUGGUAUGAUCGCAUGUGUUACUACAUGCAAUGUAAUCGUAUCUAUUCUUUUUUAAAGACUUUAUGAUCCAUUUGCCGUGGGUCCCACCAGCUAUGUAGGAAUACNNNNNNNNNNNNNNNNNNNNNNNNNNNNNNNNNNNNNNNNNNNNNNNNNNAUAUAAUGUUUGCCCCAAAAUAUAGCANAGACCACGAAAAUGCCAUAAAAAGUACAUUAAGGUCAAAAUUUGGAGUAGGAAAAAAAAUCAAUAGGAGAAUUCCAUUUUCCUUCCUCAUUCAUUGGAGAGCUCUCUUUGGGCAUUCCAAAAAGGUAUCACAUGCCAAGUUUGGCCUCACGGUCUAAAAGUUAUAGAGUAAUACAUUUUUAACAAAAAAAAAAGAGAAAAACCGAAAAAAAGAGGGAUGCAACACGAAGACUUUUCUGGAGGUCACCCAUCCUAGUACUACUCUCCCCCAAGCACGCUUAACUGUGGUGUUCUGAUAGGAUCAAGUGCAUUAGUGCUGGUAUGAUCGCAUCAGUUACUACAUGCAAUGCAAUCAUAUAUAUUCUUUUUUGAAGACUUUAUGAUCCAUUGUCGUAGGUCCCACCAGCUAUGUAGGAAUACCCUUUCUUGUUUAUAAGAGCUUUGAUACAUGCAAAAUAUUCGAAAACAAUGUCCGAACAUAUAAUUUUUGUCCCGUAAUAUAGCAAAGAUCACGAAAAGGCCAGAAAAAAUACAUUUCGGUCAAAAUUUGGAGUAGAAAAAAAGCCCUUCCUCAUUCAUUGGACAGCUCUCUUUGGGCUUUCCGAAAAGGUAUCACAUGCCAAGUUUGGCCUCACGGUCUAAACCUUAUAGACUCAUACAUUUUUCACAAAAAAAAGAAGAGAAAAGCCAAAAAAAAAGAGUGAUUAAACACGAGGACUUUCCUGGAGGUCACCCAUCCUAGUACUACUCUCGCCCAAGCACGCUUAACUGCGAAGUUCUGAUGGGAUCUGGUGCAUUAGUGCUGGUAUGAUCGCAUCUGUUACUACAUGCAAUGAAAUCGUAUCUAUUCUUUUUUGAAGAUUUUAUGAUUCAUUUACCGUGGGUCCCACCAGCUAUGUAGGAAUAACCUAUCUUAUUUAUAAGAUCUUUGAUACAUGCAAAAUAUUGGAAAACAAUGUCCGAACAUAUAAUGUUCGCCCCAAAAUAUAGCAAAGACCACAAAAAUGCCAUAAAAAGUACAUUAAGGUCAAAAUUUGGAGUAGGAAAAAAACCAAUAAGAGAAUUCCAUUUUCCUUCCCUCAUUCAUCGGAGAUCUCUCUUUGGGCAUUCCAAAAAGGUAUCACAUGCCAAGUUUGGCCUCACGGUCUAAAAGUUAUAGAGUAAUACAUUUUUAACAAAAAAAAAAGAGAAAAACCGAAAAAAAGAGGGAUGCAACACGAAGACUUUUCUGGAGGUCACCCAUCCUAGUACUACUCUCCCCCAAGCACGCUUAACUGUGGUGUUCUGAUAGGAUCAAGUGCAUUAGUGCUGGUAUGAUCGCAUCAGUUACUACAUGUAAUGCAAUCAUAUAUAUUCUUUUUUGAAGACUUUAUGAUCCAUUUGCCGUAGGUCCCACCAGCUAUGUAGGAAUACCCUAUCUCGUUUAUAAGAGCUUUGAUACAUGCAAAAUAUUCGAAAACAAUGUCCGAACAUAUAAUGUUUGCCCCAAAAUAUAGCAAAGACCACGAAAAUGCCAUAAAAAGUACAUUAAGGUCAAAAUUUGGAGUAGGAAAAAAAAUCAAUAGGAGAAUUCCAUUUUCCUUCCUCAUUCAUCGGAGAGCUCUCUUUGGGCAUUCCAAAAAGGUAUGACAUGCCAAGUUUGGCCUCACGGUCUAAAAGUUAUAGAGUAAUACAUUUUUAACAAAAAAAAAAGAGAAAAACCGAAAAAAAGAGGGAUGCAACACGAAGACUUUUCUGGAGGUCAUCCAUCCUAGUACUACUCUCCCCCAAGCACGCUUAACUGUGGUGUUCUGAUAGGAUCAAGUGCAUUAGUGCUGGUAUGAUCGCAUCAGUUACUACAUGCAAUGCAAUCAUAUAUAUUCUUUUUUGAAGACGUUAUGAUCCAUUUGCCGUAGGUCCCACCAGCUAUGUAGGAAUACCCUAUCUUGUUUAUAAGAGCUUUGAUACAUGCAAAAUAUUCGAAAACAAUGUCCGAACAUAUAAUUUUUGUCCCGUAAUAUAGCAAAGAUCACGAAAAGGCCAGAAAAAAUACAUUUUGGUCAAAAUUUGGAGUAGAAAAAAAACCCUUCCUCAUUCAUUGGACAGCUCUCUUUGGGCUUUCCGAAAAGGUAUCACAUGCCAAGUUUGGCCUCACGGUCUAAAAGUUAUAGAGUCAUACAUUUUUCACAAAAAAAAGAAGAGAAAAACCAAAAAAAAGAGUGAUGAAACACGAGGACUUUCCUGGAGGUCACCCAUCCUAGUACUACUCUCGCCCAAGCACGCUUCACUGCGAAGUUCUGAUGGGAUCUGGUGCAUUAGUGCUGGUAUGAUCGCAUCUGUUACUACAUGCAAUGCAAUCAUAUCUAUUCUUUUUUGAAGAUUUUAUGAUUCAUUUACCGUGGGUCCCACCAGCUAUGUAGGAAUAACCUAUCUUAUUUAUAAGAGCUUUGAUACAUGCAAAAUAUUGGAAAACAAUGUCCGAACAUAUAAUGUUCGCCCCAAAAUAUAGCAAAGACAACAAAAAUGCCAUAAAAAGAAAAUUAAGGUCAAAAUUUUGAGUAGGAAAAAAAUCAAUAAGAGAAUUCCAUUUUCCUUCCCUCAUUCAUCGGAGAUCUCUCUUUGGGCAUUCCAAAAAGGUAUCACAUGCCAAGUUUGGCCUCACGGUCUAAAAGUUAUAGAGUAAUACAUUUUUAACAAAAAAAGAAGAGAAAAACCGAAAAAAAGAGGGAUGCAACACGAAGACUUUUCUGGAGGUCACCCAUCCUAGUACUACUCUCCCCCAAGCACGCUUAACUGUGGUGUUCUGAUAGGAUCAAGUGCAUUAGUGCUGGUAUGAUCGCAUCAGUUACUACAUGUAAUGCAAUCAUAUAUAUUCUUUUUUGAAGACUUUAUGAUCCAUUUGCCGUACGUCCCACCAGCUAUGUAGGAAUACCCUAUCUCGUUUAUUAGAGCUUUGAUACAUGCAAAAUAUUCGAAAACAAUGUCCGAACAUAUAAUGUUUGCCCCAAAAUAUAGAAAAGACCACGAAAAUGCCAUAAAAAGUACAUUAAGGUCAAAAUUUGGAGUAGGAAAAAAAAUCAAUAGGAGAAUUCCAUUUUCCUUCCUCAUUCAUCGGAGAGCUCUCUUUGGGCAUUCCAUAAAGGUAUCACAUGCCAAGUUUGGCCUCACGGUCUAAAAGUUAUAGAGUAAUACAUUUUUAACAAAAAAAAAAGAGAAAAACCGAAAAAAAGAGGGAUGCAACACGAAGACUUUUCUGGAGGUCACCCAUCCUAGUACUACUCUCCCACAAGCACGCUUAACUGUGGUGUUCUGAUAGGAUCAAGUGCAUUAGUGCUGGUAUGAUCGCAUCAGUUACUACAUGUAAUGCAAUCAUAUAUAUUCUUUUUUGAAGACUUUAUGAUCCAUUUGCCGUAGGUCCCACCAGUUAUGUAGGAAUACCCUAUCUCGUUUAUAAGAGCUUUGAUACAUGCAAAAUAUUCGAAAACAAUGUCCGAACAUAUAAUGUUUGCCCCAAAAUAUAGCAAAGACCACGAAAAUGCCAUAAAAAGUACAUUAAGGUCAAAAUUUGGAGUAGGAAAAAAAAUCAAUAGGAGAAUUCCAUUUUCCUUCCUCAUUCAUGGGAGAGCUCUCUUUGGGCAUUCCAAAAAGGUAUCACAUGCCAAGUUUGGCCUCACGGUCUAAAAGUUAUAGAGUAAUACAUUUUUAACAAAAAAAAAAGAGAAAAACCGAAAAAAAGAGGGAUGCAACACGAAGACUUUUCUGGAGGUCACCCAUCCUAGUACUACUCUCCCCCAAGCACGCUUAACUGUGGUGUUCUGAUAGGAUCAAGUGCAUUAGUGCUGGUAUGAUCGCAUCAGUUACUACAUGCAAUGCAAUCAUAUAUAUUCUUUUUUGAAGACGUUAUGAUCCAUUUGCCGUAGGUCCCACCAGCUAUGUAGGAAUACCCUAUCCUGUUUAUAAGAGCUUUGAUAUAUGCAAAAUAUUCAAAAACAAUGUCCGAACAUAUAAUUUUUGUCCCGUAAUAUAGCAAAGAUCACGAAAAGGCCAGAAAAAAUAAAUUUCGGUCAAAAUUUGGAGUAGAAAAAAAACCCUUCCUCAUUCAUUGGACAGCUCUCUUUGGGCUUUCCGAAAAGGUAUCACAUGCCAAGUUUGGCCUCACGGUCUAAACCUUAUAGACUCAUACAUUUUUUACAAAAAAAAGAAGAGAAAAACCAAAAAAAAGAGUGAUUAAACACGAGGACUUUCCUGGAGGUCACCCAUCCUAGUACUACUCUCGCCCAAGCACGCUUAACUGCGAAGUUCUUAUGGGAUCUGGUGCAUUAGUGCUGGUAUGAUCGCAUCUGUUACUACAUGCAAUGCAAUUGUAUCUAUUCUUUUUUGAAGAUUUUAUGAUUCAUUUACCGUGGGUCCCACCAGCUAUGUAGGAAUAACCUAUCUGAUUUAUAAAAGCUUUGAUACAUGCAAAAUAUUCGAAAACAAUGUCCGAACAUAUAAUGUUCGCCCCAAAAUAUAGCAAAGACCGUAAAAAUGCCAUAAAAAGUACAUUAAGGUCAAAAUUUGGAGUAGGAAAAAAAAUCAAUAGGAGAAUUCCAUUUUCCUUCCCUCAUUCAUCGAAGAGCUCUCUUUGGGCAUUCCAAAAAGGUAUCACAUGCCAAGUUUGGCCUCACGGUCUAAAAGUUAUAGAGUAUUACAUUUUUAACAAAAAAAAAAGAGAAAAACCGAUAAAAAGAGGGAUGCAACACGAAGACUUUUCUGGAGGUCACCAAUCCUAGUACUACUCUCCCCCAAGCACGCUUAACUGUGGUGUUCUGAUAGGAUCAAGUGCAUUAGUGCUGGUAUGAUCGCAUCAGUUACUACAUGCAAUGCAAUCAUAUAUAUUCUGUUUUGAAGACUUUAUGAUCCAUUUGUCGUAGGUCCCACCAGCUAUGUAGGAAUACCCUUUCUUGUUUAUAAGAGCUUUGAUACAUGCAAAAUAUUCGAAAACAAUGUCCGAACAUAUAAUUUUUGUCCCGUAAUAUAGCAAAGAUCACGAAAAGGCCAGAAAAAAUACAUUUCGGUCAAAAUUUGGAGUAGAAAAAAAGCCCUUCCUCAUUCAUUGGACAGCUCUCUUUGGGCUUUCCGAAAAGGUAUCACAUGCCAAGUUUGGCCUCACGGUCUAAACCUUAUAGACUCAUACAUUUUUCACAAAAAAAAGAAGAGAAAAACCAAAAAAAAAGAGUGAUUAAACACGAGGACUUUCCUGGAGGUCACCCAUCCUAGUACUACUCUCGCCCAAGCACGCUUAACUGCGAAGUUCUGAUGGGAUCUGGUGCAUUAGUGCUGGUAUGAUCGCAUCUGUUACUACAUGCAAUGAAAUCGUAUCUAUUCUUUUUUGAAGAUUUUAUGAUUCAUUUACCGUGGGUCCCACCAGCUAUGUAGGAAUAACCUAUCUCGUUUAUAAGAGCUUUGAUACAUGCAAAAUAUUCGAAAACAAUGUCCGAACAUAUAAUGUUUGCCCCAAAAUAUAGAAAAGACCACGAAAAUGCCAUAAAAAGUACAUUAAGGUCAAAAUUUGGAGUAGGAAAAAAAAUCAAUAGGAGAAUUCCAUUUUCCUUCCUCAUUCAUCGGAGAGCUCUCUUUGGGCAUUCCAUAAAGGUAUCACAUGCCAAGUUUGGCCUCACGGUCUAAAAGUUAUAGAGUAAUACAUUUUUAACAAAAAAAAAAGAGAAAAACCGAAAAAAAGAGGGAUGCAACACGAAGACUUUUCUGGAGGUCACCCAUCCUAGUACUACUCUCCCACAAGCACGCUUAACUGUGGUGUUCUGAUAGGAUCAAGUGCAUUAGUGCUGGUAUGAUCGCAUCAGUUACUACAUGUAAUGCAAUCAUAUAUAUUCUUUUUUGAAGACUUUAUGAUCCAUUUGCCGUAGGUCCCACCAGUUAUGUAGGAAUACCCUAUCUCGUUUAUAAGAGCUUUGAUACAUGCAAAAUAUUCGAAAACAAUGUCCGAACAUAUAAUGUUUGCCCCAAAAUAUAGCAAAGACCACGAAAAUGCCAUAAAAAGUACAUUAAGGUCAAAAUUUGGAGUAGGAAAAAAAAUCAAUAGGAGAAUUCCAUUUUCCUUCCUCAUUCAUGGGAGAGCUCUCUUUGGGCAUUCCAAAAAGGUAUCACAUGCCAAGUUUGGCCUCACGGUCUAAAAGUUAUAGAGUAAUACAUUUUUAACAAAAAAAAAAGAGAAAAACCGAAAAGAAGAGGGAUGCAACACGAAGACUUUUCUGGAGGUCAUCCAUCCUAGUACUACUCUCGCCCAAGCACACUUAACUGCGGUGUUCUGAUAGGAUCAAGUGCAUUAGUGCUGGUAUGAUCGCAUCAGUUACUACAUGCAAUGCAAUCUUAUAUAUUCUUUUUUGAAGACUUUAUGAUCCAUUUGCCGUCGGUCCCACCAGCUAUGUAGGAAUACCCUAUCUUGUUUAUAAGAGCUUUGAUAUAUGCAAAAUAUUCAAAAAUAAUGUCCGAACAUAUAAUUUUUGUCCCGUAAUAUAGCAAAGAUCACGAAAAGGCCAGAAAAAAUAAAUUUCGGUCAAAAUUUGGAGUAGAAAAAAAACCCUUCCUCAUUCAUUGGACAGCUCUCUUUGGGCUUUCCGAAAAGGUAUCACAUGCCAAGUUUGGCCUCACGGUCUAAACCUUAUAGACUCAUACAUUUUUUACAAAAAAAAGAAGAGAAAAACCAAAAAAAAGAGUGAUUAAACACGAGGACUUUCCUGGAGGUCACCCAUCCUAGUACUACUUUCGCCCAAGCACGCUUAACUGCGAAGUUCUUAUGGGAUCUGGUGCAUUAGUGCUGGUAUGAUCGCAUCUGUUACUACAUGCAAUGCAAUUGUAUCUAUUCUUUUUUGAAGAUUUUAUGAUUCAUUUACCGUGGGUCCCACCAGCUAUGUAGGAAUAACCUAUCUGAUUUAUAAAAGCUUUGAUACAUGCAAAAUAUUCGAAAACAAUGUCCGAACAUAUAAUGUUCGCCCCAAAAUAUAGCAAAGACCGUAAAAAUGCCAUAAAAAGUACAUUAAGGUCAAAAUUUGGAGUAGGAAAAAAAUCAAUAGGAGAAUUCCAUUUUCCUUCCCUCAUUCAUCGGAGAGCUCUCUUUGGGCAUUCCAAAAAGGUAUCACAUGCCAAGUUUGGCCUCACGGUCUAAAAGUUAUAGAGUAUUACAUUUUUAACAAAAAAAAAAGAGAAAAGCCGAUAAAAAGAGGGAUGCUACACGAAGACUUUUCUGGAGGUCACCAAUCCUAGUACUACUCUCCCCCAAGCACGCUUAACUGUGGUGUUCUGAUAGGAUCAAGUGCAUUAGUGCUGGUAUGAUCGCAUCAGUUACUACAUGCAAUGCAAUCAUAUAUAUUCUGUUUUGAAGACUUUAUGAUCCAUUUGUCGUAGGUCCCACCAGCUAUGUAGGAAUACCCUUUCUUGUUUAUAAGAGCUUUGAUACAUGCAAAAUAUUCGAAAACAAUGUCCGAACAUAUAAUUUUUGUCCCGUAAUAUAGCAAAGAUCACGAAAAGGCCAGAAAAAAUACAUUUCGGUCAAAAUUUGGAGUAGAAAAAAAGCCCUUCCUCAUUCAUUGGACAGCUCUCUUUGGGCUUUCCGAAAAGGUAUCACAUGCCAAGUUUGGCCUCACGGUCUAAACCUUAUAGACUCAUACAUUUUUCACAAAAAAAAGAAGAGAAAAACCAAAAAAAAAGAGUGAUUAAACACGAGGACUUUCCUGGAGGUCACCCAUCCUAGUAAUACUCUCGCCCAAGCACGCUUAACUGCGAAGUUCUGAUGGGAUCUGGUGCAUUAGUGCUGGUAUGAUCGCAUCUAUUACUACAUGCAAUGAAAUCGUAUCUAUUCUUUUUUGAAGAUUUUAUGAUUCAUUUACCGUGGGUCCCACCAGCUAUGUAGGAAUAACCUAUCUUAUUUAUAAGAUCUUUGAUACAUGCAAAAUAUUGGAAAACAAUGUCCGAACAUAUAAUGUUCGCCCCAAAAUAUAGCAAAGACCACAAAAAUGCCAUAAAAAGUACAUUAAGGUCAAAAUUUGGAGUAGGAAAAAAACCAAUAAGAGAAUUCCAUUUUCCUUCCCUCAUUCAUCGGAGAUCUCUCUUUGGGCAUUCCAAAAAGGUAUCACAUGCCAAGUUUGGCCUCACGGUCUAAAAGUUAUAGAGUAAUACAUUUUUAACAAAAAAAAAAAGAGAAAAACCGAAAAAAAGAGGGAUGCAACACGAAGACUUUUCUGGAGGUCACCCAUCCUAGUACUACUCUCCCCCAAGCACGCUUAACUGUGGUGUUCUGAUAGGAUCAAGUGCAUUAGUGCUGGUAUGAUCGCAUCAGUUACUACAUGUAAUGCAAUCAUAUAUAUUCUUUUUUGAAGACUUUAUGAUCCAUGUGCCGUAGGUCCCACCAGCUAUGUAGGAAUACCCUAUCUCAUUUAUAAGAGCUUUGAUACAUGCAAAAUAUUCGAAAACAAUGUCCGAACAUAUAAUGUUUGCCCCAAAAUAUAGCAAAGACCACGAAAAUGCCAUAAAAAGUACAUUAAGGUCAAAAUUUGGAGUAGGAAAAAAAAUCAAUAGGAGAAUUCCAUUUUCCUUCCUCAUUCAUCGGAGAGCUCUCUUUGGGCAUUCCAAAAAGGUAUCACAUGGCAAGUUUGGCCUCACGGUCUAAAAGUUAUAGAGUAAUACAUUUUUAACAAAAAAAAAAGAGAAAAACCGAAAAAAAGAGGGAUGCAACACGAAGACUUUUCUGGAGGUCACCCAUCCUAGUACUACUCUCCCCCAAGCACGCUUAACUGUGGUGUUCUGAUAGGAUCAAGUGCAUUAGUGCUGGUAUGAUCGCAUCAGUUACUACAUGCAAUGCAAUCAUAUAUAUUCUUUUUUGAAGACGUUAUGAUCCAUUUGCCGUAGGUCCCACCAGCUAUGUAGGAACACCCUAUCUUGUUUAUAAGAGCUUUGAUACAUGCAAAAUAUUCGAAAACAAUGUCCGAACAUAUAAUUUUUGUCCCGUAAUAUAGCAAAGAUCACGAAAAGGCCAGAAAAAAUACAUUUCGGUCAAAAUUUGGAGUAGAAAAAAAACCCUUCCUCAUUCAUUGGACAGCUCUCUUUGGGCUUUCCGAAAAGGUAUCACAUGCCAAGUUUGGCCUCACGGUCUAAAAGUUAUAGAGUCAUACAUUUUUCACAAAAAAAGCAAGAGAAAAACAAAAAAAAAGAGUGAUGAAACACGAGGACUUUCCUGGAGGUCACCCAUCCUAGUACUACUCUCGCCCAAGCACGCUUAACUGCGAAGUUCUGAUGGGAUCUGGUGCAUUAGUGCUGGUAUGAUCGCAUCUGUUACUACAUGCAAUGCAAUCGUAUAUAUUCUUUUUUGAAGACUUUAUGAUCCAUUUGUCGUAGGUCCCACCAGUUAUGUAGGAAUACCCUAUCUCGUUUAUAAGAGCUUUGAUACAUGCAAAAUAUUCGAAAACAAUGUCCGAACAUAUAAUGUUUGCCCCAAAAUAUAGCAAAGACCACGAAAAUGCCAUAAAAAGUACAUUAAGGUCAAAAUUUGGAGUAGGAAAAAAAAUCAAUAGGAGAAUUCCAUUUUCCUUCCUCAUUCAUUGGAGAGCUCUCUUUGGGCAUUCCAAAAAGGUAUCACAUGCCAAGUUUGGCCUCACGGUCUAAAAGUUAUAGAGUAAUACAUUUUUAACAAAAAAAAAAGAGAAAAACCGAAAAAAAGAGNNNNNNNNNNNNNNNNNNNNNNNNNNNNNNNNNNNNNNNNNNNNNNNNNNUCAUACAUUUUUAACAAAACAAAUAGAGAAAAACCGAAAAAAAGAAUGAUACAACACAAGGACUUUCCGGGAGGUCACCCAUCCUAAUACUAUUCUCGCCCAAGCAAGCUUAACUGCAGAGUAUUGAUGGGAUCUGAUGCAUAAGGGCUGAUAUGAUCGCAUCCGUUACUACAAGCAAUGCAAUCGUAUCUAUUCGUUUUUGAAGACUUUAUGAUCCAUUUGCCGUGGGUCCCACCAGCUAUGUAGGAAUACCCUAUCUUGUUUAUAAGAGCUUUGAUACAUGCAAAAAAUUGGAAAACAAUGUCUGAACAUAUAAUUUUUGUCCCGUAAUAUAGCAAAGAUCACGAAAAGGAUAGAAAAAGUACAUUAAGGUCAAAAUUUUGAGUAGAAAAAAAAUCAAUAGAAGGAUUCCAAUUUCCUUCCUCAUUCAUAUAGCUCUCUUUGGGCUUUCCGAAAAGGUAUCACAUGCAAAGUUUGGCCUCGCGGUCUAAAAGUUAUAGAGGUAUACAUUUUUACCAAAAAAAAGAGGGAUUCAACACGAGGACUUUCUGGGAGGUCACUCAUCCUAUUACUACUCUCGCCCAAGCACACUUAACUGCGGAGUUCUGAUAGGAUCCAGUGCAUUAGUGCGGGUAUGAUCACAUCCGUUACUACAUGCAAUGCAAUCGUAUAUAUUUUUUUUGAAGACUUUAUGAUCCAUUUGCCGUGGGUCUCACCAGCUAUGUAGGAAUACCCUAUCUUGUUUGUAAGAGCUUUGAUACAUGCAAAAUAUUCGAAAACAAUGUCAGAACGUAUGCUUUUUGCCCCGUAAUAUAGCAUAGAUCAUGAAAAGGCCAGAAAAAGUACAUUAAGGUCAAAAUUUUGAGUAGAAAAAAAAACAAUAGAAAAAUUCCAUUGUCCUUCCUCAUUCAUCGGAGAGUUCUCUUUGGGCUUUCCGAAAAGGUAUCACAUGCCAAGUUUGGCCUCACGGUCUAAAACUUAUAGAAUCAUACAUUCUUAACAAAAAAAAAAGAGAAAAACCGAAAAAAAGAAGAAUGCAACACAAGGACUUUCCAUGAGGUCAACCAUCCUAGUACUACUCUCGCCCAAUCACGCUUAACUGCAGAGUUUUGAUGGGAUCCGGUGCAUUAGUGCUGGUAUGAUCGCAUCUGUUACUACAUGCAAUGCAAUCGUAUCUAUUCUUUUUUGAAGACUUUAUGAUCCAUUUGUCGUGGGUCCCACCAACUAUGUAAGAAUACCCUAUCUUGUUUAUAAGAGCUUUGAUACAUGCAAAAUAUUCGAAAACAAUGUCAGAACGUAUGCUUUUUGCCCCGUAAUAUAGCAUAGAUCAUGAAAAGGCCAGAAAAAGUACAUUAAGGUCAAAAUUUUGAGUAGAAAAAAAAACAAUAGAAAAAUUCCAUUGUCCUUCCUCAUUCAUCGGAGAGUUCUCUUUGGGCUUUCCGAAAAGGUAUCACAUGCCAAGUUUGGCCUCACGGUCUAAAAUUUAUAGAGUCAUACAUUUUUAACAAAAAAAAAAGAGAAAAACCGAAAAAAGAGGGAUGGAACACAAGGACUUUCCGGGAGGUCACCCAUUCUAGUACUACUCUCACCCAAGCGCGCUUAACUGUGGAGUUCUGAUGGGAUCCAGUGCAUUAGUGAUGGUAUGAUCGCAUCCGUUACUACAUGCAAUGCAAUAAUAUCUUUUCUUCUUGAAGACUUUAUGAUCCAUUUGUCGUGGGUCCCACCAGCUAUGUAGGAAUACCCUAUCUUGUUUAUAAGAGCUUUGAUACAUGCAAAAUAUUCAAAAACAAUGUCCGAACAUAUAAUUUUCGCCCCGUAAUAUAGCAAAGAUCGCGAAAACGCCAAAAGAGUACAUUAAGGUCAAAAUUUGGAGUAGAAAAAAAACCCAAUAGAAGAAUUCCAUUUUCCUUCAUCAUUCACCAGAGAGCUCUCUUUUGGCUUUUUGAAAAGGUAUCACAUGCCAAGUUUGGCCUCACGGUCUAAAAGUUAUAGAGUCAUUCAUUUUAAAAAAAAAAAUAGAGAAAAACCAAAAAAAAAAAGAGGGAUGAAACACGAGGACUUUCCGGGAGGUCACCCAUCCUAGUACUACUCUCGCCCAAGCACACUUAACUGCGGAGUUCUUAUGGGAUCUGGUGCAUUAGUGCUGCUAUGAUCGCAUCCGUUACUACAUGCAAUGCAAUCGUAUCUAUUCUUUUUUGAAGACUUUAUGAUCCAUUUGCUGUGGGUCCUGAUAUGUCUAUAAUUUACAUCUUUUCAGUGUCCAUUCAUCACCGUUUUGAGUCCAGUUUUGUAUCAUUCAUCGCUGUUUUAUAUCAUUUCUCAUCAUUCUUGCAUACUUUGCAUGAUUAGGAUAGUUUUGCAUACAUAUUGCAUUUCUAAGUUGUUUUCAGGUGAUUUGGAGCUGUUUGCGAGCAAAUUGGAAGAAACGAGCCAGAACCAGAAGACAUACUCGACCACCAGGUCGUGUGCAUCCAGCACCAUACUCGACCCCCUGGUCGAGUGACUUUGGAGCCAUUCUUCCCAUCUACUCGACCCCCUAGUCGAGUAUCCUCAGCUCAGGCUACUCGAUGACGCCAUCGACCCCCUGGUCGAGUAUCACUUCGCCACACCACCUGACCACACUCGGCCAUUCACUCUACCAAGUUAGUCGACCCCCUGGUCGAGUAUCAUCACUCACCACCAUCACCAUCACUCGACCGGACACUCGAUCACGUCUUCACAGUCUACUCAAAUCCGCACUCAACCAGACAAGCUGAGCACAAGGAAGAGAAGAGGAGAAGACAAAGUGUUUGGAAGCGGCCUGGACCUCCAUCGGAUCACAAAGCCCAUCUCGGCCCAUUAUCACUCUAUUGGUCGGGCGAUUAGGUUAUUGGCCCGUCUACUAUCAUUUUGUUUUGUAUAAAUAGAUGUCUUAGGGUUCUUUCCUGAGACAUCUAGUCGACAUUGAGUUUUUGUUUCAGUUUUAUUUUCUAUUUUACUCUUCUGCGCCGCUUUUGCUUCUACAACCUAUAAUUCGAGAUUUUUCCAAGUUAUUCAGAUUCUGCAUUUGAUUUUAUCUAUCAUCCUGUUUCUCUACUCUUUAUCUCUUUACUUAUGCAAUAUUAUCAUUUAUCUGCGUUUAUGUCUUUGAGCAUGUUGUCUGAGUAGUGACAUAGAAUUCUUAGGGAUGGGAUAGAGUAGUUGUGGAAUCCGUAGUCUGUAGAAUGGUUAAGUUUUAGAAUUGAUUGAAUCCCUUCAGGACUAGUUGCGUUUACUGCUUAUUUCUUUCUGAUCAACUGGAAUUCGAUCCCAAGCAUUCUCGCACCCAGAAGGUGUUCGAUGGAAUGCUUGAUCCACUAGUUCCUGAGAUAUUCGUCUCUAUCCCAAGGGAUUGGGCGUUUAGAGCGUUUAUUGACUUUAUCAGUCUGUUCUUAUUGCCUGCAUAGUUAGAUUGCGUUAAUGGGAAUUAGUCUGGGCUAGCUUUGCUUGAGGAUUUCUAUCACAGAAGUGAAUUGAUUUGUUGUUGAACCUAUUGUCUAGGGAUAGCUUGAUUGCGCUUGUUAACCAUUCGAAUAUGCUAGGAUAUGAUAAGGUCUGACCCUAUCGAAGACAAGAAAAAGACUAAGAGUGAUAAAAUAACAAGAUAAUAGGAAAUGCACCUUGAACGGCGGAGAGUGUAGAUGAGAGAGAGAAUUUCAAGAUUAAUGUUGUUGAUUGUUUAUUUUGAUAACAAAACCCUAAAAGGGAAGGUUCCUUAAAUAGCAUCUACUGAGACUCAAUACAAAACGCAGCAUUUCGAUAACCCAAAAGUAAAACGACACAGUUGGCGAGCUGUCUUUCUGUGCCGAGCUGGCGAGCUGUCUUUCUGUGCCUUAGCCACUUUUAAAUAGAAGCUUCCUCAGGAACUUCUCACGAGCUCUGCCUUUCCUUCCAUUUGAUUUCGCCCUUCUUCUCACACCAGCCAACGUCACCUGUAACCUAUCAAUGCUCCCGCGCAGAAGACUGACCUUGUCCUCAAGGUCGAAGUCCGGGUACUGCUGCACCAAAGUGAGGAGCGGCUCCCAAGUUGAUUCCAAGGUUGAUAAUCCAGACCACUGUACCAGCACCUCUGGUCCUGAAUUUGUGUUGCUCUGUCGGAUAUCUAGCAGCUUCUCAGGUCCUGUGUUCCAUUCCAGUGUGGGUGAUAGUAUCUUGGGAAGUUCCUGCGGGGUGAAUGACGGAGGUACAGCCCUUUUCAGUUGAGAGACAUGGAACACCGGGUGAAUUGUGCUGUGUUCGGGUAGUUGGAGCUUGUAAGCGACCUGACCUAUGCGGUGCAGCACUUUAAAUGGACCGAAGUAGCGCUGGGACAGCUUUUCAUUCUUCCUAUGAGCCACAGAACUUUGCCUAUAAGGACGCAGCUUCAAGUAAACCCAUUCAUCAAUUUCAAACGCUACAUCACGUCGACUUUUAUCAGCAGCCUUUUUCAUUUGAGCUUGAGCUAUCUCCAAGUUCUCUCUUAAUUCAACCAGCAUUCCAUCCUUAUCCUUAAGUAACUCCUCUACAUUCGCAUUAUUGGUUGGAAUAUCGCCAUACCUGAGCAGAACUGGUGGUUCUCUACCAUAGACUGCUUGAAAGGGAGUGGUUUUGGUGGCUGAAUGGUACGAGGUGUUGUACCAGUAUUCUGCCCAAGGUAACCACUGAAACCACGAUGUAGGCCUCCUCCCUGCAAAGCAUCGCAAAUAAGACUCAAGACAUCUGUUAACAACCUCGGUCUGCCCAUCAGUUUGUGGGUGAUAGGCUGUACUCUUCUGUAGCCCCGUGCCCUGCAGCUUAAACAACUCAGACCAGAAUCCGCUCAGGAAAAUCCUGUCCCUGUCCGAAACCAGUGUGUUUGGGAAGCCAUGUAGCUUGACUACAUCUCUUAUGAAGGCCUCAACUACAGUCUUGGCAGUGAAUGGAUGUUUAAGUGGAAUGAAAUGACUAUACUUACUUAAUCUAUCCACCACUACCAAUAUACAGUUAAACCUGUUAGAGCUUGGCAACCCUUCUACAAAGUCCAAGCUGACAUCACUCCAAAUCUGUUGUGGAAUAGGGAGAGGUGAUAGUAAACCGGCUGGAGAGAGGGUAGAGUAUUUAUUCUCUUGACAGAUUUGGCAUCCCUUGAUGUAGUUAACCACGUCUUUCCGCAACCCUCUCCAGUAUACUUCACUUGUGAGUCGUUUGAAUGUCUUAAGGGCACCUUCAUGACCUCCAAUAGGACUGGUGUGGAACUUCUCUAGCAUCUUUGGAAUGAAGGGAGAUCCUACAGGAAUUACCAAACAGCCUUUUCUGUAAAUCAAGCCAUCUGCCACAGUGAAGUCAGAAUCAUGGUGGUCCCCUUGUGCCCAGUUCUUAAGUAUCUGGCUCAACUCAUGAUCCUGCUGAAUUUCUGCCUUUAGUGCAGUCAAGUCGAUAGUAGGAGGACCAGUUAUAGUGAGCUGUGAGAGAGCCUCAGUUGGAGGUCUCCUUGAGAGUGCAUCAGCUACCUUAUUGUCAACUCCUGGUUUAUAUUCGAUCCUAUACUUCAGUCCACUCAACUUAGACGCCCAUCUCUGCUGUAUUGUGGACACCGACUUCUGUUCCAACAAAUGUCUGAGGCUGCGUUGAUCUGUCUUGAUAAUGAAUUCUUUACUUGAUAGGUAAUGCUUCCACUUUGUGACAGCUUUCACUAUGGCUAACAGUUCACGUUCAUAAACUGACCUUAUUCUGCCUUGACUGGAGAAGGCUUGGCUGAGAAAUGCAAUAAGCCUCUUAUUCUGUGACAGUACUGCUCCAAUCCCCAUCCCUGAUGCAUCCGUUUCCACAGUAAACUCCUGCUGGAAAUCUGGUAACACUAGCACAGGUAGUGCUGAAACAGCUGCUUUGAGAGCCUGAAAUGCAGAAGUAGCUGCCUCAUUCCAAUCAAAACUGUUCUUUUUUAACUGAUCUCUGAGUGGUCUGGCGAUUUGGCCGUAAUUCUUGACAAAUCGGCGAUAGUAGCCAGUGAAUCCUAGGAAGCCUCUUAACUCAGUCACAGAUUUAGGUAAAGGCCACUGGAGCAUUGCUUCCACCUUUUCUGGAUCUGUUGCGACUCCUUGCUCAGAGAUAAUGUGUCCCAAAUAUGAGAUCCUAGUGCUUCCAAAUGUGCACUUUUUAAAAUUGGCAUAGAACUGAUGAAGAUGCAGUAGCUGUAAGACGGUUUCCAAAUGCUUCAAAUGUGUCUUCAUAUCAGGACUAUAAACUAGUAUAUCAUCGAAGAAAACCAAGACGAACUUUCGCAAGUAUGGCCUGAAUAGGUCAUUCAUGACGCUUUGAAAGGUGGAGGGGGCGUUGGUCAAGCCAAAUGGCAUUACCAGAAAUUCAUAAUGGCCCUCAUGUGUCUUGAAGGCAGUCUUCUCCACAUCACUCAGUUUCAUCCUUAUCUGGAAAUAGCCUGAUUUAAGAUCCAACUUUGAAAACACUGUGGCUCCUUUCAGUUCAUCCAAUAGCUCUUCUAUAACAGGAAUCGGAUACUUAUCGGGUAUUGUAGCUUCAUUCAAUGCUCGAUAAUCAACGCAGAAGCGCCAUCCUCCAUCUUUCUUUUUCACUAGGAGAACUGGACUUGAAUAUGGACUCACGCUAGGUCUUAUAAUCUGAGCAUUCAACAUUUCACGCACAAGCUUCUCUAUCUCAUUCUUUUGAGCAAAAGAAUACCUGUAUGGUCGGAUAUUGACUGGUGAAGACCCUUCUUGUAAGGUAAUGGCGUGUUCUCUGUUGCGAACUGGUGGCAAUAGCUGUGGAGUUUGAAAAACCCCUUGGUACUGAUCCAAAAGCCUCUGGAUUGCAGGCUGCAAGGCUGUUUGCUCUUCCUGUUUCUUGCUUUCAAACAAAGAUGCUAGUUCCAAGAGAUAUGCAGUUCCAGUGUAUUUGAUAACUCUUUCCAUAGACCUCAUCGAAAUUUGUCCUCUACAUAGAUCCGGGUCGCCGUAUAAGGAUACCCAUGUGCGACCUAUCUGCCAACUGAUCCUCAAAUCUCUCCAGUUGGCUCUUGUUUCUCCUAGUCCUGCCAACCAAGAAAAUCCCAGAACCAAAUCCAAAUCUCCCAAGUCAAAUAAGUAGUAGUCUUGUACAAACUCAAUUCCUUGGACCUCUAGUGGUAUAUCGACACACUUCCCACUACUUUUGAUGAUUCUGCCUCCACCAACUUUAACUCCAAAACUGCGAGUUUGAGUCACUAACCAUCCUUUCUCUCUUACCAAAGCCUCACUAAUGAAGUUGCAAGUUGCUCCUGAAUCAACCAAUAACACCACUUUGGUGUUGCCAAUGUAUCCCCUCAUUUUCAUUGACUGCUCUUGAGACUCAUCAUUCAAGGAGCUGAGUGUCAUUACCUUGAAACCUUCUGCAGGUUCUGGAUCCCCUUCUUCUUCUGUCAGUGGUUCAUUCAACUCUUCAAUUAGAGGACUCUCCUCUUCAACCUCUUCUGUUAUGGCUAGACCCUUGAGCUUUUGUGGUUUGCAUUUAUGGCCUUGAAACCAUCUAUCUCCACAGUAGCGGCACGGGUUUGAGUUCCUGGCUUCCCCACUGCCUGAAGCACGAGUUGUAUCCCUACUAGGAAUGAAGGGUUGUCUCGUUGGAGCACGGUCUACCACUCUAGAUCCUGUGGAGACCUGAUUGUUGAAUGGAGCUGUGUUGGUUCUAGCUUGAUUUCGCACUUGGUAACUAACAGCAUUCCGCUCUUGUGACUCAAUGAGUUUAGCUAUCUCAACAAUAUCUGCAAGAUUCACUGGCCUACAGCGAACUACCUGGUCUCGAAGACUUCUUCUCAGUCCAUUGAGGAAUGCAGAUUCCAAUAUGUCAGAUGUGACAUGGGGUAAGUCGACUGUGAGCUCUUCAAAACGUUCUCUGUAUUCCUCCACGGUUCCUGUUUGUCUCACGUUGAGGAGAUGAUCCACAGCAGAACUGCCUCUGCUUGGUCGAAAACGUAACAUGAACUUUUCUUGAAAUUCCCUCCAGGUAUAGAUUUGUUCUCUGUCCUUAGAGCAGCGCCACCAUGUAACUGAUGCUCCUGUUAAACAAGACACAGCCUUUUCCAGUUUUUCUUCCUCUAGGGUGCGAUUGGAUAAGAAGCACUGUUCUAGCCGGAACAACCAAUCGUCGGCAUUGCCUCCUUCAUAAGCCGGAUAAUCCACAGUCCUACGCGGGGCUGCUUCAAACCGAGGUUGAUGUGGCGCAGAUUGAGGCGGAAACGUUUGUGUUUGGAAGGUUGGAGUAGUCUGAAACCCCGUGGAAGGAUUAGAUGGAAAACCUGAAGAUGAUGGAAGACCCGUGGAGGCAUUCAGCUGAAACCCUGGUGGUUCUAAUGGUGACGAGUGAAAGCGACGCGGUUCGAAGGGUGAAGCUGGAAGUCGAGGUAUCUCUGAAGUCGACGCCUGGUAUCGCGACUGGUCAAAGAGUAAGGGCCGAGGGUGUGUGUCCCGUUGAUUUGUGCCGGAAAACAGAGUCUCUCUGUUCUGUACCUCCAAGUGUUGAGGAUGAGAGGUGUAGACUGGUAACGCCGGAGCUGGAGAAGAAAAACGGACUCCUCUAUUCGGUCCUUCCAGAUGUUGUGGGUANNNNNNNNNNNNNNNNNNNNNNNNNNNNNNNNNNNNNNNNNNNNNNNNNNNNNNNNNNNNNNNNNNNNNNNNNNNNNNNNNNNNNNNNNNNNNNNNNNNNAGCUCUCUUUGGGCUUUCCGAAAAGGUAUCACAUGCCAAGUUUGGCUUCACGGUCUAAACCUUAUAGACUCAUACAUUUUUCACAAAAAAAAGAAGAGAAAAACAAAAAAAAAGAGUGAUUAAACACGAGGACUUUCCUGGAGGUCACCCAUCCUAGUACUACUCUCGCCCAAGCACUCUUAACUGCGAAGUUCUGAUGGGAUCUGGUGCAUUAGUGCUGGUAUGAACGCAUCUGUUACUACAUGCAAUGCAAUCGUAUGUAUUCUUUUUUGAAGAUUUUAUGAUUCAUUUACCGUGGGUCCCACCAGCUAUGUAGGAAUAACCUAUCUUAUUUAUAAAAGCUUUGAUACAUGCAAAAUAUUCGAAAACAAUGUCCGAACAUAUAAUGUUCGCCCCAAAAUAUAGCAAAGACCACAAAAAUGCCAUAAAAAGUACAUUAAGGUCAAAAUUUGGAGUAGGAAAAAAAUCAAUAGGAGAAUUCCAUUUUCCUUCCCUCAUUCAUCGGAGAGCUCUCUUUGGGCAUUCCAAAAAGGUAUCACAUGCCAAGUUUGGCCUCACGGUCUAAAAGUUAUAGAGUAUUACAUUUUUAACAAAAAAAAAAAGAGAAAAACCGAAAAAAAGAGGGAUGCAACACGAAGACUUUUCUGGAGGUCACCCAUCCUAGUACUACUCUCCCCCAAGCACGCUUAACUGUGGUGUUCUGAUAGGAUCAAGUGCAUUAGUGCUGGUAUGAUCGCAUCAGUUACUACAUGCAAUGCAAUCAUAUAUAUUCUUUUUUGAAGACUUUAUGAUCCAUUUGCCGUAGGUCCCACCAGCUAUGUAGGAAUACCCUAUCUUGUUUAUAAGAGCUUUGAUACAUGCAAAAUAUUCGAAAACAAUGUCCGAACAUAUAAUUUUUGUCCCGUAAUAUAGCAAAGAUCACGAAAAGGUCAGAAAAAAUAUAUUUCGGUCAAAAUUUGGAGUAGAAAAAAAGCCCUUCCUCAUUCAUUGGACAGCUCUCUUUGGGCUUUCCGAAAAGGUAUCACAUGCCAAGUUUGGCCUCACGGUCUAAACCUUAUAGACUCAUACAUUUUUCAUAAAAAAAAGAAGAGAAAAACAAAAAAAAAAAGAGUGAUUAAACACGAGGACUUUCCUGGAGGUCACCCAUCCUAGUACUACUCUCGCCCAAGCACGCUUAACUACGAAGUUCCGAUGGGAUCUGAUGCAUUAGUGCUGGUAUGAUCGCAUCUGUUACUACAUGCAAUGCAAUCGUAUCUAUUCUUUUUUGAAGAUUUUAUGAUUCAUUUACUGUGGGUCCCACCAGCUAUGUAGGAAUAACCUAUCUUAUUUAUAAAAGCUUUGAUACAUGCAAAAUAUUGGAAAACAAUGUCCGAACAUAUAAUGUUCGCCCCAAAAUAUAGCAAAGACCACAAAAAUGCCAUAAAAAGUACAUUAAGGUCAAAAUUUGGAGUAGGAAAAAAAUCAAUAGGAGAAUUCCAUUUUCCUUCCCUCAUUCAUCGGAGAGCUCUCUUUGGGCAUUCCAAAAAGGUAUCACAUGCCAAGUUUGGCCUCACGGUCUAAAAGUUAUAGAGUAAUACAUUUUUAACAAAAAAAAAAAAGAAAAAAACCGAAAACAAAGAGGGAUGCAACACGAAGACUUUCCUGGAGGUCACCCAUCCUAGUACUACUCUCACCCAAGCACACUUAACUGUGGUGUUCUGAUAGGAUCAAGUGCAUUAGUGCUGGUAUGAUCGCAUCAGUUACUACAUGCAAUGCAAUCGUAUCUAUUAUUUUUUGAAGACUUUAUGAUCCAUUUGCCGUGGGUCCCACCAGCUAUGUAGGAAUACCCUAUCUUGUUUAUAAGAGCUUUGAUACAUCCAAAAUAUUCGAAAACAAUGUUGGAACGUAUAAGUUUUGCCCAGUAAUAUAGCAAAGAUCACGAAAAGGCCACAAAAAGUACAUUAAGGUAAAAAUUUAGAGUAGGAAACAAAAACAAUAGGAGAAUUCCAUUUUCCUUCCUCAAUCAUCGGAGAGUUCUUUUUGGGCUUUCCAAAAAGGUAUCACAUGCCAAGUUUGGCCUCACGGUCUAAAAGUUAUAGAGUAAUACAUUUUUAACAAAAAAAAAAAGAAAAAAACCGAAAACAAAGAGGGAUGCAACACGAAGACUUUCCUGGAGGUCACCUAUCCUAGUACUACUCUCGCCCAAGCACACUUAACUGUGGUGUUCUGAUAGGAUCAAGUGCAUUAGUGCUGGUAUGAUCGCAUCAGUUACUACAUGCAAUGCAAUCGUAUCUAUUAUUUUUUGAAGACUUUAUGAUCCAUUUGCCGUGGGUCCCACCAGCUAUGUAGGAAUACCCAAUCUUGUUUAUAAGAGCUUUGAUACAUCCAAAAUAUUCGAAAACAAUGUUGGAACGUAUAAGUUUUGCCCAGUAAUAUAGCAAAGAUCACGAAAAGGCCACAAAAAGUACAUUAAGGUAAAAAUUUAGAGUAGGAAACAAAAACAAUAGGAGAAUUCCAUUUUCCUUCCUCAAUCAUCGGAGAGUUCUUUUUGGGCUUUCCAAAAAGGUAUCACAUGCCAAGUUUGGCCUCACGGUCUAAAAGUUAUAGAGUCAUACAUUUUUAACAAAAAAGAGGGAUUUAACACGAGGACUUUCCGAGAGGUAACCCAUCCUAGUAGUACACUCGCCCAAGCACCCUUAACUACGGAGUUCUAAUGGGAUACGGUGCAUUAGUGCUCGUAUGAUCGCAUGUGUUACUACAUGCAAUGUAAUCGUAUCUAUUCUUUUUUAAAGACUUUAUGAUCCAUUUGCCGUGGGUCCCACCAGCUAUGUAGGAAUAUCCUAUAUUCUUUAUAAGAGCUUUGAUACAUGCAAAAUAUUCGAAAACAAUGUCCGAACAUAUAAUUUCCCCCCCGUAAUAUAGCAAAGAUCACGAAAAGGCCCAAAAAAGUACAUUAAGUUUAAAAUUUGGAGUAGAAAAAAAACCAAUAGAAAAAUUCCAUUUUCCUUCCUCAGUCAUCGAAGAGCUCUCUUUGGGCUUUCUGAAAAGGUAUCACAUGCCAAGUUUGGCCUCACGGUCUAAAAGUUAUAGAGUCAUACAUUUUUAACAAAACAAAAAGAGAAAAACCGAAAAAAACAGGGAUGCAACACGAGGACUUUCCUGGAGGUCUCCCAUCCUAGUACUACUCUCGCCCAAGCACCCUUAACUGCGUAGUUCUGAUGGGAUCCGAUGCAUUAGUGCUGGUAUGAUCGCAUCUGUUACUACAUGCAAUGUAAUCGUAUCUAUUCUUUUUUAAAGACUUUAUGAUCCAUUUGCCGUGGGUCCCACCAGCUAUGUAGGAAUACCCUAUCUUCUUAAUAAGAGCCUUGAUAAAUGCAAAAUAUUGGAAAACAAUGUCCGAACAUAUAAUGCCCCCCCCCCCGUAAUAUAGCAAAGAUCACGAAAAUGCCCAAAAAAGUACAUUUAGGUCAAAAUUUGAGUAGAAAAAAAAACAAUAGAAGAAUUCCAUUUUCCUUCCUCAUUUAUCGGAGAGCUCUCUUUGGGCUUUCCGAAAAGGUAUCACAUGACAAGUUUGGCCUCACGGUCUAAAAGAUAUAGAGUCAUACAUUAUUAACAAAACAAAAUAGAGAAAAACCGAAAAAAAAGAGGGAUGCAACGCGAGGACUUUCCGGGAGGUAAUCUAUCCUAGUACUACUCUCGCCCAAGCACCCUUACCUGCGGAGUUCUGAUGGGAUCCGGUGCAGUAGUGCUGGUAUGAUCGCAUGUGUUACUACAUGCAAUGCAAUCAUAUAUAUUCUUUUUUGAAGACUUUAUGAUCCAUUUGCCGUAGGUCCCACCAGCUAUGUAGGAAUACCCUAUCUUGUUUAUAAGAGCUUUGAUACAUGCAAAAUAUUCGAAAACAAUGUCCGAACAUAUAAUUUUUGUCCCGUAAUAUAGCAAAGAUCACGAAAAGGCCAGAAAAAAUACAUUUCGGUCAAAAUUUGGAGUAGAAAAAAACCCCUUCCUCAUUCAUUGGACAGCUCUCUUUGGGCUUUCCGAAAAGGUAUCACAUGCCAAGUUUGGUCUCACGGUUUAAAAGUUAUAGAGUCAUACAUUUUUCACAAAAAAAAGAAGAGAAAAAACAAAAAAAAGAGUGAUGAAACACGAGGACUUUCCUAGAGGUCACCCAUCCUAGUACUACUCUCGCCCAAGCACGCGUAACUGCGAAGUUCUGAUGGGAUCUGGUGCAUUAGUGCUGGUAUGAUCGCAUCUGUUACUACAUGCAAUGCAAUCGUAUCUAUUCUUUUUUGAAGAUUUUAUGAUCCAUUUGCAGUGGGUCCCACCAGCUAUGUAGGAAUACCCUAUCUUGUUUAUAAGAGCUUUGAUACAUGCAAAAUCUUCGAAAACAAUGUCCGAACAUAUAAUUUUCGCCCCGUAAUAUAGCAAAGAUCACGAAAAUGCCAAAAUAGUACAUUAAGGUCAAAAUUUGGAGUAGGAAAAAAAACCCUUCAUCAUUCAUUGGAGAGCUCUCUCUGGGCUUUCCGAAAAGGUAUCACAUGCCAAGUUUGGCCUCACGGUCUAAAAGUUAUAAAGUCAUACAUUUUUAACAAAAAAAAAAGAGAAAAACCGAAAAAAAGAGUUAUGUAACACGAGGACUUUCCUGGAGGUCACCCGUCCUAGUACUACUCUCGCCCAAACACGCUUAACUGUGGUGUUCUGAUAGGAUCAAGUGCAUUAGUGCUGGUAUGAUCGCAUCAGUUACUACAUGCAAUGCAAUCAUAUAUAUUCUUUUUUGAAAACUUUAUGAUCCAUUUGCCGUAGGUCCCACCAGCUAUGUCGGAAUACCCUAUCUUGUUUAUAAGAGCUUUGAUACAUGCAAAAUAUUCGAAAACAAUGUCCGAACAUAUAAUUUUUGUCCCGUAAUAUAGCAAAGAUCACGAAAAGGCCAAAAAAAAUACAUUUCGGUCAAAAUUUGGAGUAGAAAAAAACCCCUUCCUCAUUCAUUCGACAACUCUCUUUGGGCUUUCCGAAAAGGUAUCACAUGCCAAGUUUGGUCUCACGGUCUAAAAGUUAUAGAGUCAUACAUUUUUCACAAAAAAAAGAAGAGAAAAAACCAAAAAANAGAGUGAUGAAACACGAGGACUUUCCUGGAGGUCACUCAUGCUAGUACUACUCUCGCCCAAGCACGCUUAACUGCGAAGUUCUGAUGGGAUCNNNNNNNNNNNNNNNNNNNNNNNNNNNNNNNNNNNNNNNNNNNNNNNNNNNNNNNNNNNNNNNNNNNNNNNNNNNNNNNNNNNNNNNNNNNNNNNNNNNNUUAUGAUCCAUUUGCCGUGGGUCCCACCAGCUAUGUAGGAAUACCCUAUCUUCUUUAUAAGAGCUUUGAUACAUGGAAAAUAUUGGAAAACAAUGUCCGAACAUAUAAUUUCCCCCCCGUAAUAUAGCAAAGAUCACGAAAAGGCCCGAAAAAGUACAUUUAGUUUAAAAUUUGGAGUAGAAAAAAAAACAAUAGAAAAAAUCCAAUUUCCUCCCUCGUUCAUCGGAGAGCUCUCUUUGGGCUUUCCAAAAAGGUAUCACAAGACAAGUUUGGCCUCACCGUCUAAAAGUUAUAGAGUCAUACAUUUUUAACAAAACAAAAUAGAGAAAAACGGAAAAAAGAGGGAUGCAACAUGAGGACUUUCCGGGAGGUCACCCAUCCUAGUACUACUCUCGUCCAAGGACCCUUAACUGCGAAGUUCUGAUGGGAUCCGUUGCAUUAGUGCUGGUAUGAUCGCAUGUGUUACUACAUGCAAUGUAAUCGUAUCUAUUCUUUUUUAAAGACUUUAUGAUCCAUUUGCCGUGGGUCCCACCAGCUAUGUAGGAAAACCCAAUCUUCUUUAUAAGAGCUUUGAUACAUGCAAAAUAUUGGAAAACAAUGUCCGAACAUAUAAUUUUCCCCCAUAAUAUAGCAAAGAUCACGAAAAGGCCCGAAAAAGUACAUUUAGUUCAAAAUUUGGAGUAGAAAAAAAGGCAGUAAAAGAAUUCCAUUUUCCUUCCUCAGUGAUCGGAGAGCUCUCUUUGGACUUUCCGAAAAGGUAUCACAUGCCAAGUUUGGCCUCACGGUCUAAAAGUUAUAGAGUCAUACAUUUUUAACAAAACAAAAUAGAGAAAAACGGAAAAAAGAGGGAUGCAACACGAGGACUUUCCGGGAGGUCACCCAUCCUAGUACUACUUUCGCCCAAGCACCCUUAACUGCGGAGUUCUGAUGGGAUCCGGUGCAUUAGUGCUGGUAUGAUCGCAUGUGUUACUACAUGCAAUGUAAUCAUAUUUCUUGUUAUUUAAAGAUUUUAUGAUCCAUUUGCCGUGGGUCCCACCAGCUAUGUAGGAAUACCUUAUCUUCUUUAUAGGAGCUUUGAUACAUGCAAAAUAUUGGAAAACAAUAUCCGAACAUAUAUCUUUCCCCCCGUAAUAUAGCAAAGAUCGCGAAAAGGCCCGAAAAAGUACAUUUAGGUCAAAAUUUGGAGUAGAAAAAAAAAGCAAUAGAAGAAUUCCAUUUUCCUUCCUCAGUCAUCGGAGAGCUCUCUUUGGGCUUUCCGAAAAGGUAUCACAUGCCAAGUUUGGCCUCAUGGUCUAAAAGUUAUAGAGCCAUACAUUUUUAACAAAACAAAAUAGAGAAAAACCAAAAAAAGAGAGGGAUGCAACACGAGGACUUUCCGGGAGGUCACCCAUCCUAGUACUACUCUCGCCCAAGCACCCUUAACUGCGGAGUUCUGAUGGGAUCCAGUGCAUUAGUGCUGGUAUGAUCGCAUGUGUUACUACAUGCAAUGUAAUCGUAUCUAUUCUUUUUUAAAGAUUAUAUGAUCCAUUUGCCGUGGGUCCCACCAGCUAUGUAGGAAUACCCUAUCUUCUUUAUAAGAGCUUUGAUACAUGCAAAAUAUUGGAAAACAAUGUCCGAACAUAUAAUUUUCCCCCCGUAAUAUAGCAAAGAUCACGAAAAGGCCCAAAAAAGUACAUUUAGGUCAAAAUUUGGAGUUGAAAAAAAACAAAAAGAAGAAUUCCAUUUUCCUUCCUCAUUCAUUGGAGAGCUCUCUUUGGGCUUUCCGAAAAGGUAUCACAUGCCAUGUUUAGCCUCACGGUCUAAAAGUUAUAGAGUCAUACAUUUUUAACAAAACAAAAUAGAGAAAAACCAAAAAAACGAGGGAUGCAACACGAGGACUUUCUGGGAAGUCACCUAUCCUAGUACUACUCUCGCCCAAGCACCCUUAACUGCGGAGUUCUGAUGGGAUCCGGUGCAUUAGUGCUGGUAUGAUUGCAUGUGUUACUACAUGCAAUGUAAUCGUAUCUAAUGCUUUUAAAGACUUUAUGAUCCAUUUGCCGUGGGUCCCCACAAGCUAAGUAGGAAUACCCUAUCUUCUUUAUAAGAGUUUUCAUACAUGCAAAAUAUGGAAAACAAUGUCCGAACAUAUAUUUUCCCCCCGUAAUAUAGCAAAGAUCACGAAAAGGCCCACAAAAAGUACAUUUAGUUCAAAAUUUGGAGUAGAAAAAAAAACAAUAGAAAAGUUCCAAUUUCNNNNNNNNNNNNNNNNNNNNNNNNNNNNNNNNNNNNNNNNNNNNNNNNNNGGGUCCCACCAGCUACGUAGGAAUACCCUAUCUUGUUUAUAAGAGCUUUGAUACAUGCAAAAUAUUCGAAAACAAUGUCCGAACAUAUAAUUUUCGUCCCGUAAUAUAGCAAAGAUCACAAAAAGGCCAGAAAGAGUACAUUUACGUCAAAAUUUGGAUAGAAAAAAAACGAAUAGAAGAAUUCCAUUUUGACUUCCUCAUUCAUCGGAAAGCUCUCUUUGGGCUUUCCGAAAAGGUAUCACAUGCCAAGUUUGGAAUCACGGUUUAAAAGUUAUAGAGUCAUACAUUUUUAACAAAAAAUAAAGAGAAAACCCGAAAAAUGAGGGAUGCAACACGAGGACUUUUCGGGAGGUCACCCAUCGUAGUACUACUCUCGCCCAAGCACGCUUAACUGUAGAGUUCUGAUGGGAUCCGGUUCAUUAUUGCUGGUAUGAUCGCAUCCGUUACUACAUGCAAUGCAAUCGUAUCUAUUCUUUUUUGAAGACUUUAUGAUCCAUUUGCCGUGGGUCCCACCAGCUAUGUUGGAAUACCCUAUCUUGUUUAUAAGAGCUUUGUUACAUGCAAAAUAUUCGAAAACAAUGUCCGAACAUAUAAUAUUUGCCCCGUAAUAUAGCAAAGAUCACGAAAAGGCCAGAAAACCUAUAUUAAGUUCAAAAUUUGGAGUAGAAAAAAACCAAUAGAAGAAUUCCAUUUUCCUUCCUCACUCAUCGGAGAGCUCUCUUUGGGGCUUUCCGAAAAGGUAUCACAUGCAAAGUUUGGCCUCACAGGCUAAAAGUUAUAGAGUCGUACAUUUUUAACAAAAAAAAAAAGAGAAAAGCCGAAAAAAAGAAGGAUGCAACACAAGGACUUUCCGGGAGGUCAGCCAUCCUAAUAUUACUCUCGCCCAAGCACGCUUAACUGUAGAGUUCUGAUGGGAUCCGGUGCAUUAGUGCUGGUAUGAUCGCAUCUGUUACUACAUGCAAUGCAAUCGUAUCUAUUCUUUUUUUAAGACUUUAUGAUCCAUUUACCGUGGGUCCCACCAGCUACGUAGGAAUAACCUAUCUUAUUUAUAAGAGCUUUGAUACAUGCAAAAUAUUCGAAAACAAUGUCCGAACAUAUAAUUUUCGUCCCGUAAUAUAGCAAAGAUCACAAAAAGGCCAGAAAGAGUACAUUAAGGUCAAAAUUUUGGAGUAGAAAAAAAAACCCUUCCUCAUUCAUUAAAGAGCUCUCUUUGGCAUUUCCGAAAAGGUGUCACAUGCCAAGUUCGGCCUCACGGUCUAAAAGUUAUAGAGUCAUACAUUGUUAACAAAAAAAAAGAGAAAAACCGAUUAAAAGAGUUAUGCAACACAAGGACUUUCCUGGAGGUCACCCGUCCUAGUACUACUCUCGCCCAAGCACGCUUAAAUGCGGAGUUCUGAUGGGAUCCGGUCCAUGAGUGGUGGUAUGAUCACAUCCGUUACUACAUGCAAUGCAAUCGUAUCUAUUAUUUUUUGAAGACUUUAUGAUCCAUUUGCCGUGGGUCCCACCAGCUAUGUAGGAAUACCCUAUCUUGUUUAUAAGAGCUUUGAUACAUCCAAAAUAUUCGAAAACAAUGUUGGAACGUAUAAGUUUCGCUCAGUAAUAUAGCAAAGAUCACGAAAAGGCCACAAAAAGUACAUUAAGGUAAAAAUUUAGAGUAGGAAAAAAAAACAAUAGGAGAAUUCCAUGUUCCUUCCUCAAUCAUCGGAGAGCUCUCUUUGGGCUUUCCAAAAAGGUAUCACAUGCCAAGUUUGGCCUCACGGUCUAAAAGUUAUAGAGUCAUACAUUUUUAACAAAAAAAAAUAGAGAAAAACCAAAAAAAAGAGGGAUGCAACACGAAGACUUUCCUGGAGGUCACCCAUCCUAGUACUACUCUCGCCCAAGCACGCUUAACUGCGGUGUUCUGAUAGGAUCAAGUGCAUUAGUGCUGGUAGGAUCGCAUUCGUUACUACAUGCAAUGCAAUUAUAUAUAUUCUUUUUUGAAGACUUUAUGAUCCAUUUGCGGUAGGUCCCACCAGCUAUGUAGGAAUACCCUAUCUUGCUUAUAAGAGUUUUGAUACAUGCAAAAAUAUUCGAAAACAAUGUCCGAACAUAUAAUUUUUGUCCCGUAAUAUAACAAAGAUCACGAAAAGGCCAAAAAUAGUACAUUUCGGUCAAAACAUGGAGCAGAAAAAAAACCCCUUCCUCAUUCAUCGGAGAGCUCUCAUUGGGCUUUCCGAAAAGAUAUCACAUGCAAAGUUUGGCCUCACGGUUUAAAAGUUAUAGAGUCAAAUAUUUUUAACAAAAAAAAGAGAGAAAAACCGAAAACAAAGAGGGAUGCAACACGAGGACUUUCCGGAAGGUCACCCAUCCUAGUACUACUCUAGCCCAAGCACGCUUAACCGCGGAGUUCUGAUAGGAUCCGGUGCAUUAGUGCUGGUAUGAUCGCAUCAGUUACUACAUGCAAUGCAAUCAUAUAUAUUUUUUUUGAAGACUUUAUGAUCCAUUUGCCGUGGGUCCCACCAGCUAUGUAGGAAUACCUAUCUUGUUUAUAAGAGCUUUGAUACAUGCAAAAUAUUUGAAAACAAUGUCCGAACGUAUAAUCUUCGUCCCGUAAUAUAGCAAAGAUCACGAAAAGGCCAGAAAAAGUACAUUAAGGUCAAAAUUUUGACUAGAAAAAAAAAACAAUAGAAAAAUUCCAUUGUCCUUCCUCAUUCAUCGGAGAGUUCUCUUUGGGCUUUCCGAAAAGGUAUCACAUGCCAAGUUUGGCCUCACGGUCUAAAACUUAUAGAAUCAUACAUUCUUAACAAAAAAAAAAAAAAAACCGAAAAAAAGAAGAAUGCAACACAAGGACUUUCCAGGAGGUCAACCAUCCUAGUAGUACUCUCGCCCAAUCACGCUUAACUGCAGAGUUCUGAUGGGAUCCGGUGCAUUAGUGCUGGUAUGAUCGCAUCUGUUACUACAUGCAAUGCAAUCGUAUCUAUUCUUUUUUGAAGACUUUAUGAUCCAUUUGCCGUGGGUCCCACCAGCUAUGUAGGAAUACCUUAUCUUGUUUAUAAGAGCUUUGAUACAUGCAAAAUAUUCGAAUACAAUGUCUGAACGUAUAACUUUCGCCCCGUAAUAUAGCGAAGAUCACGAAAAGGCCCGAAAAAGUACAUUAAGGUCAAAAUUUCGAGUAGAAAUAAAAACCAAUAGAAGAAUUCCAAUUUCCUUCCUCAUUCAUUGGAGAGCUCUCUUUGGGCUUUCCGAAAAGGUAUCACAUGCGAAGUUUCGCCUCACAAUCUAAAAGUUAUAUAGUCAUACAUUUUUAACAAAACAAAUAGAGAAAAACCGAAAAAAAGAAUGAUACAACACAACGACUUUCCCGGAGGUCACCCAUCCUAAUACUAUUCUCGCCCAAGCAAGCUUAACUGCAGAGUAUUGAUGGGAUCUGAUGCAUAAGUGCUGAUAUGAUCGCAUCCGUUACUACAUGCAAUGCAAUCGUAUCUAUUCGUUUUUGAAGACUUUAUGAUCCAUUUGCCGUGGGUCCCACCAGCUAUGUAGGAAUACCCUAUCUUGUUUAUAAGAGCUUUGAUACAUGCAAAAAAUUGGAAAACAAUGUCUGAACAUAUAAUUUUUGUCCCGUAAUAUAGCAAAGAUCACGAAAAGGAUAGAAAAAGUACAUUAAGGUCAAAAUUUUGAGUAGAAAAAAAAUCAAUAGAAGGAUUCCAAUUUCCUUGCUCAUUCAUAUAGCUCUCUUUGGGCUUUCCGAAAAGGUAUCACAUGCAAAGUUUGGCCUCGCGGUCUAAAAGUUAUAGAGGUAUACUUUUUUACCAAAAAAAAAGAAGAAAAAAACCAAAAAAAAGAGGGAUUCAACACGAGGACUUUCUGGGAGGUCACUCAUCCUAUUACUACUCUCGCCCAAGCACGCUUAACUGCGGAGUUCUGAUAGGAUCCAGUGCAUUAGUGCGGGUAUGAUCACAUCCGUUACUACAUGCAAUGCAAUCGUAUAUAUUUUUUUUGAAGACUUUAUGAUCCAUUUGCCGUGGGUCUCACCAGCUAUAUAGGAAUACCCUAUCUUGUUUAUAAGAGCUUUGAUACAUGCAAAAUAUUUGAAAACAAUGUCCGAACGUAUAAUCUUCGUCCCGUAAUAUAGCAAAGAUCACUAAAAGGCUAGAAAAAGUACAUUAAGAUCAAAAUUUUGAGUAGAAAAAUAAACAAUAGAAAAAUUCCAUUGUCCUUCCUCAUUCAUCGGAGAGUUCUCUUUGGGCUUUCCGAAAAGGUAUCACAUGCCAAGUUUGGCCUCACGGUCUAAAACUUAUAGAAUCAUACAUUCUUAACAAAAAAAAAAGAGAAAAACCGAAAAAAAGAAGAAUUUAACACAAGGACUUUCCAGGAGGUCAACCAUCCUAGUAGUACUCUCGCCCAAUCACGCUUAACUGCAGAGUUCUGAUGGGAUCCGGUGCAUUAGUGCUGGUAUGAUCGCAUCUGUUACUACAUGCAAUGCAAUCGUAUCUGUUACUACAUGCAAUGCAAUCGUAUCUGUUACUACAUGCAAUGCAAUCGUAUCUAUUCUUUUUUGAAGACUUUAUGAUCCAUUUGCCGUGGGUCCCACCAGCUAUGUAGGAAUACCCUAUCUUGUUUAUAAGAGCUUUGAUACAUGCAAAAUAUUCGAAUACAAUGUCUAAACGUAUAAGUUUCGCCCCGUAAUAUAGCGAAGAUCACGAAAAGGCCCGAAAAAGUACAUUAAGGUCAAAAUUUGGAGUAGAAAUAAAAACCAAUAGAAGAAUUCCAAUUUCCUUCCUCAUUCAUUGGAGAGCUCUCUUUGGGCUUUCCGAAAAGGUAUCACAUGCGAAGUUUGGCCUCACAAUCUAAAAGUUAUAUAGUCAUACAUUUUUAACAAAACAAAUAGAGAAAAACCGAAAAAAAGAAUGAUACAACACAAGGACUUUCCGGGAGGUCACCCAUCCUAAUACUAUUCUCGCCCAAGCAAGCUUAACUGCAGAGUAUUGAUGGGAUCUGAUGCAUAAGGGCUGAUAUGAUCGCAUCCGUUACUACAAGCAAUGCAAUCGUAUCUAUUCGUUUUUGAAGACUUUAUGAUCCAUUUGCCGUGGGUCCCACCAGCUAUGUAGGAAUACCCUAUCUUGUUUAUAAGAGCUUUGAUACAUGCAAAAAAUUGGAAAACAAUGUCUGAACAUAUAAUUUUUGUCCCGUAAUAUAGCAAAGAUCACGAAAAGGAUAGAAAAAGUACAUUAAGGUCAAAAUUUUGAGUAGAAAAAAAAUCAAUAGAAGGAUUCCAAUUUCCUUCCUCAUUCAUAUAGCUCUCUUUGGGCUUUCCGAAAAGGUAUCACAUGCAAAGUUUGGCCCCGCGGUCUAAAAGUUAUAGAGGUAUACAUUUUUACCAAAAAAAAGAGGGAUUCAACACGAGGACUUUUUUNNNNNNNNNNNNNNNNNNNNNNNNNNNNNNNNNNNNNNNNNNNNNNNNNNUGCUGGUAUGAUCGCAUCAGUUACUACAUGCAAUGCAAUCAUAUAUAUUCUUUUUUGAAGACUUUAUGAUCCAUUUGCCGUAGGUCCCACCAGCUAUGUAGGAAUACCCUAUCUUGUUUAUAAGAGCUUUGAUACAUGCAAAAUAUUCGAAAACAAUGUCCGAACAUAUAAUUUUUGUCCCGUAAUAUAGCAAAGAUCACGAAAAGGCCAGAAAAAAUACAUUUCGGUCAAAAUUUGGAGUAGAAAAAAAGCCCUUCCUCAUUCAUUGGACAGCUCUCUUUGGGCUUUCCGAAAAGGUAUCACAUGCCAAGUUUGGCCUCACGGUCUAAACCUUAUAGACUCAUACAUUUUUCACAAAAAAAAGAAGAGAAAAACCAAAAAAAAGAGUGAUUAAACACGAGGAUUUUCCUGGAGGUCACCCAUCCUAGUACUACUCUCGCCCAAGCACGCUUAACUGCGAAGGUCUGAUGGGAUAUGGUGCAUUAGUGCUGGUAUGAUCGCAUCUGUUACUACAUGCAAUGCAAUCGUAUCUAUUCUUUUUUGAAGAUUUGAUGAUUCAUUUACCGUGGGUCCCACCAGCUAUGUAGGAAUAACCUAUCUUAUUUAUAAAAGCUUUGAUACAUGCAAAAUAUUCGAAAACAAUGUCCGAACAUAUAAUGUUCGCCCCAAAAUAUAGCAAAGACCACAAAAAUGCCAUAAAAAGUACAUUAAGGUCAAAAUUUGGAGUAGGAAAAAAAUCAAUAGGAGAAUUCCAUUUUCCUUCCCUCAUUCAUCAGAGAGCUCUCUUUGGGCAUUCCAAAAAGGUAUCACAUGCCAAGUUUGGCCUCACGGUCUAAAAGUUAUAGAGUAUUACAUUUUUAACAAAAAAAAAAGGGAAAAACCGAAAAAGAGGGAUGCAACACGAAGACUUUUCUGGAGGUCACCCAUUCUAGUACUACUCUCCCCCAAGCACGCUUAACUGUGGUGUUCUAAUAGGAUCAAGUGCAUUAGUGCUGGUAUGAUCGCAUCAGUUACUACAUGCAAUGCAAUCAUAUAUAUUCUUUUUUGAAGACUUUAUGAUCCAUUUGCCGUAGGUCCCACCAGCUAUGUAGGAAUACCCUAUCUUGUUUAUAAGAGCUUUGAUACAUGCAAAAUAUUCGAAAACAAUGUCCGAACAUAUAAUUUUUGUCCCGUAAUAUAGCAAAGAUCACGAAAAGGCCAGAAAAAAUACAUUUCGGUCAAAAUUUGGAGUAGAAAAAAAGCCCUUCCUCAUUCAUUGGACAGCUCUCUUUGGGCUUUCCGAAAAGGUAUCAUAUGCCAAGUUUGGCCUCACGGUCUAAACCUUAUAGACUCAUACAUUUUUCACAAAAAAAAGAAGAGAAAAACCAAAAAAAAGAGUGAUUAAACACGAGGACUUUCCUGGAGGUCAUCCAUCCUAGUACUACUCUCGCCCAAGCACGCUUAAUUGCGAAGUUCUGAUGGGAUCUGGUGCAUUAGUGCUGGUAUGAUCGCAUAUGUUACUACAUGCAAUGCAAUCGUAUCUAUUCUUUUUUGAAGAUUUUAUGAUUCAUUUACCGUGGGUACCACCAGCUAUGUAGGAAUAACCUAUCUUAUUUAUAAGAGCUUUGAUACAUGCAAAAUAUUCGAAAACAAUGUCCGAACAUAUAAUUUUUGUCCCGUAAUAUAGCAAAGAUCACGAAAAGGCCAGAAAAAAUACAUUUCGGUCAAAAUUUGGAGUAGAAAAAAACCCUUCCUCAUUCAUUGGACAGCUCUGUUUGAGCUUUCCGAAAAGGUAUCACAUGCCAAGUUUGGCCUCACGGUCUAAAAGUUAUAGAGUCAUACAUUUUUCACAAAAAAAAGAAGAGAAAAACCAAAAAAAAGAGUGAUGAAACACGAGGACUUUCCUGGAGGUCACCCAUCCUAGUACUACUCUCGCCCAAGCACGCGUAACUGCGAAGUUCUGAUGGGAUCUGGUGCAUUAGUGCUGGUAUGAUCGCAUCUGUUACUACAUGCAAUGCAAUCGUAUCUAUUCUUUUUUGAAGAUUUUAUGAUUCAUUUACCGUGGGUCCCACCAGCUAUGUAGGAAUAACCUAUCUUAUUUAUAAGAGCUUUGAUACAUGCAAAAUAUUGGAAAACAAUGUCCGAACAUAUAAUGUUCGCCCCAAAAUAUAGCAAAGACAACAAAAAUCCCAUAAAAAGUACAUUAAGGUCAAAAUUUGGAGUAGGAAAAAAAUCAAUAAGAGAAUUCCAUUUUCCUUCCCUCAUUCAUCGGAGAGGUCUCUUUGGGCAUUCCAAAAAGGUAUCACAUGCCAAGUUUGGCCUCACGGUCUAAAAGUUAUAGAGUAAUACAUUUUUAACAAAAAAAAAAGAGAAAAACCGAAAAAAAGAGGGAUGCAACACGAAGACUUUUCUGGAGGUCACCCAUCCUAGUACUACUCUCCCAAAGCACGCUUAACUGUGGUGUUCUGAUAGGAUCAAGUGCAUUAGUGCGGGUAUGAUCGCAUCAGUUACUACAUGCAAUGCAAUCAUAUAUAUUCUUUUUUGAAGACUUUAUGAUCCAUUUGCCGUAGGUCCCACCAGCUAUGUAGGAAUACCCUAUCUUGUUUAUAAGAGCUUUGAUACAUGCAAAAUAUUCGAAAACAAUGUCCGAACAUAUAAUUUUUGUCCCGUAAUAUAGCAAAGAUCACGAAAAGGCCAGGAAAAAUACAUUUCGGUCAAAAUUUGGAGUAGAAAAAAAACCCUUCCUCAUUCAUUGGACAGCUCUCUUUGGGCUUUCCGAAAAGGUAUCACAUGCCAAGUUUGGCCUCACGGUCUAAAAGUUAUAGAUUCAUACAUUUUUCACAAAAAAAAGAAGAGAAAAACCAAAAAAAAGAGGGAUGAAACACGAGGACUUUCCCAGAGGUCACCCAUCCUAGUACUACUCUCGCCCAAGCACGCUUAACUGCGAAGUUCUGAUGGGAUCUGGUGCAUUAGUGCUGGUAUGAUCGCAUCUGUUACUACAUGCAAUGCAAUCGUAUCUAUUCUUUUUUGAAGAUUUUAUGAUUCAUUUACCGUGGGUCCCACCAGCUAUGUAGGAAAACCUAUCUUAUUUAUAAGAUCUUUGAUACAUGCAAAAUAUUGGAAAACAAUGUCCGAACAUAUAAUGUUCGCCCCAAAAUAUAGCGAAGACCACAAAAAUGCCAUAAAAAGUACAUUAAGGUCAAAAUUUGGAGUAGGAAAAAAAUCAAUAGGAGAAUUCCAUUUUCCUUCCCUCAUUCAUCGGAGAGCUCUCUUUGGGCAUUCCAAAAAGGUAUCACAUGCCAAGUUUGGCCUCACGGUCUAAAAGUUAUAGAAUAUUACAUUUUUAACAAAAAAAAAGAGAAAAACCAAAAAAAAGAGGGAUGCAACACGAGGACUUUUCUGGAGGUCACCCAUCCUACUACUACUCUCGCCCAAGCACACUUAACUGCGGUGUUCUGAUAGGAUCAAGUGCAUUAGUGCUGGUAUGAUCGCAUCAGUUACUACAUGCAAUGCAAUCAUAUAUAUUCUUUUUUGAAGACUUUAUGAUCCAUUUGCCGUAGGUCCCACCAGCUAUGUAGGAAUACCCUAUCUUGUUUAUAAGAGCUUUGAUACAUGCAAAAUAUUCGAAAACAAUGUCCGAACAUAUAAUUUUUGUCCCGUAAUAUAGCAAAGAUCACGAAAAGGCCAGAAAAAAUACAUUUUGGUCAAAAUUUGGAGUAGAAAAAAAGCCCUUCCUCAUUCAUUGGACAGCUCUCUUUGGGCUUUCCGAAAAGGUAUCACAUGCCAAGUUUGGCCUCACGGUCUAAACCUUAUAGACUCAUACAUUUUUCACAAAAAAAAGAAGAGAAAAACCAAAAAAAAGAGUGAUUAAACACGAGGAUUUUCCUGGAGGUCACCCAUCCUAGUACUACUCUCGCCCAAGCACGCUUAACUGCGAAGGUCUGAUGGGAUAUGGUGCAUUAGUGCUGGUAUGAUCGCAUCUGUUACUACAUGCAAUGCAAUCGUAUCUAUUCUUUUUUGAAGAUUUGAUGAUUCAUUUACCGUGGGUCCCACCAGCUAUGUAGGAAUAACCUAUCUUAUUUAUAAAAGCUUUGAUACAUGCAAAAUAUUCGAAAACAAUGUCCGAACAUAUAAUGUUCGCCCCAAAAUAUAGCAAAGAUCACAAAAAUGCCAUAAAAAGUACAUUAAGGUCAAAAUUUGGAGUAGGAAAAAAAUCAAUAGGAGAAUUCCAUUUUCCUUCCCUCAUUCAUCGGAGAGCUCUCUUUGGGCAUUCCAAAAAGGUAUCACAUGCCAAGUUUGGCCUCACGGUCUAAAAGUUAUAGAGUAUUACAUUUUUAACAAAAAAAAAAGGGAAAAACCGAAAAAGAGGGAUGCAACACGAAGACUUUUCUGGAGGUCACCCAUCCUAGUACUACUCUCCCCCAAGCACGCUUAACUGUGGUGUUCUAAUAGGAUCAUGUGCAUUAGUGCUGGUAUGAUCGCAUCAGUUACUACAUGCAAUGCAAUCAUAUAUAUUCUUUUUUGAAGACUUUAUGAUCCAUUUGCCGUAGGUCCCACCAGCUAUGUAGGAAUACCCUAUCUUGUUUAUAAGAGCUUUGAUACAUGCAAAAUAUUCGAAAACAAUGUCCGAACAUAUAAUUUUUGUCCCGUAAUAUAGCAAAGAUCACGAAAAGGCCAGAAAAAAUACAUUUCGGUCAAAAUUUGGAGUAGAAAAAAAGCCCUUCCUCAUUCAUUGGACAGCUCUCUUUGGGCUUUCCGAAAAGGUAUCAUAUGCCAAGUUUGGCCUCACGGUCUAAACCUUAUAGACUCAUACAUUUUUCACAAAAAAAAGAAGAGAAAAACCAAAAAAAAGAGUGAUUAAACACGAGGACUUUCUUGGAGGUCAUCCAUCCUAGUACUACUCUCGCCCAAGCACGCUUAACUGCGAAGUUCUGAUGGGAUCUGGUGCAUUAGUGCUGGUAUGAUCGCAUCUGUUACUACAUGCAAUGCAAUCGUAUCUAUUCUUUUUUGAAGAUUUUAUGAUUCAUUUACCGUGGGUACCACCAGCUAUGUAGGAAUAACCUAUCUUAUUUAUAAGAGCUUUGAUACAUGCAAAAUAUUCGAAAACAAUGUCCGAACAUAUAAUUUUUGUCCCGUAAUAUAGCAAAGAUCACGAAAAGGCCAGAAAAAAUACAUUUUGGUCAAAAUUUGGAGUAGAAAAAAACCCUUCCUCAUUCAUUGGACAGCUCUGUUUGAGCUUUCCGAAAAGGUAUCACAUGCCAAGUUUGGCCUCACGGUCUAAAAGUUAUAGAGUCAUACAUUUUUCACAAAAAAAAAGAAGAGAAAAACCAAAAAAAAGAGUGAUGAAACACGAGGACUUUCCUGGAGGUCACCCAUCCUAGUACUACUCUCGCCCAAGCACGCGUAACUACGAAGUUCUGAUGGGAUCUGGUGCAUUAGUGCUGGUAUGAUCGCAUCUGUUACUACAUGCAAUGCAAUCGUAUCUAUUCUUUUUUGAAGAUUUUAUGAUUCAUUUACCGUGGGUCCCACCAGCUAUGUAGGAAUAACCUAUCUUAUUUAUAAGAGCUUUGAUACAUGCAAAAUAUUGGAAAACAAUGUCCGAACAUAUAAUGUUCGCCCCAAAAUAUAGCAAAGACAACAAAAAUGCCAUAAAAAGUACAUUAAGGUCAAAAUUUGGAGUAGGAAAAAAAUCAAUAAGAGAAUUCCAUUUUCCUUCCCUCAUUCAUCGGAGAGCUCUCUUUGGGCAUUCCAAAAAGGUAUCACAUGCCAAGUUUGGCCUCACGGUCUAAAAGUUAUAGAGUAGUACAUUUUUAACAAAAAAAAAAGAGAGAAACCGAAAAAAAGAGGGAUGCAACACGAAGACUUUUCUGGAGGUCACCCAUCCUAGUACUACUCUCCCAAAGCACGCUUAACUGUGGUGUUCUGAUAGGAUCAAGUGCAUUAGUGCGGGUAUGAUCGCAUCAGUUACUACAUGCAAUGCAAUCAUAUAUAUUCUUUUUUGAAGACUUUAUGAUCCAUUUGCCGUAGGUCCCACCAGCUAUGUAGGAAUACCCUAUCUUGUUUAUAAGAGCUUUGAUACAUGCAAAAUAUUCGAAAACAAUGUCCGAACAUAUAAUUUUUGUCCCGUAAUAUAGCAAAGAUCACGAAAAGGCCAGGAAAAAUACAUUUCGGUCAAAAUUUGGAGUAGAAAAAAAACCCUUCCUCAUUCAUUGGACAGCUCUCUUUGGGCUUUCCGAAAAGGUAUCACAUGCCAAGUUUGGCCUCACGGUCUAAAAGUUAUAGAUUCAUACAUUUUUCACAAAAAAAAGAAGAGAAAAACCAAAAAAAAGAGGGAUGAAACACGAGGACUUUCCCAGAGGUCACCCAUCCUAGUACUACUCUCGCCCAAGCACGCUUAACUGCGAAGUUCUGAUGGGAUCUGGUGCAUUAGUGCUGGUAUGAUCGCAUCUGUUACUACAUGCAAUGCAAUCGUAUCUAUUCUUUUUUGAAGAUUUUAUGAUUCAUUUACCGUGGGUCCCACCAGCUAUGUAGGAAAACCUAUCUUAUUUAUAAGAUCUUUGAUACAUGCAAAAUAUUGGAAAACAAUGUCCGAACAUAUAAUGUUCGCCCCAAAAUAUAGCGAAGACCACAAAAAUGCCAUAAAAAGUACAUUAAGGUCAAAAUUUGGAGUAGGAAAAAAAUCAAUAGGAGAAUUCCAUUUUCCUUCCCUCAUUCAUCGGAGAGCUCUCUUUGGGCAUUCCAAAAAGGUAUCACAUGCCAAGUUUGGCCUCACGGUCUAAAAGUUAUAGAAUAUUACAUUUUUAACAAAAAAAAAGAGAAAAACCGAAAAAAAGAGGGAUGCAACACGAAGACUUUUCUGGAGGUCACCCAUCCUACUACUACUCUCGCCCAAGCACACUUAACUGCGGUGUUCUGAUAGGAUCAAGUGCAUUAGUGCUGGUAUGAUCGCAUCAGUUACUACAUGCAAUACAAUCAUAUAUAUUCUUUUUUGAAGACUUUAUGAUCCAUUUGCCGUAGGUCCCACCAGCUAUGUAGGAAUACCUUAUCUUGUUUAUAAGAGCUUUGAUACAUGCAAAAUAUUCGAAAACAAUGUCCGAACAUAUAAUUUUUGUCCCGUAAUAUAGCAAAGAUCACGAAAAGGCCAGAAAAAAUACAUUUCGGUCAAAAUUUGGAGUAGAAAAAAAACCCUUCCUCAUUCAUUGGACAGCUCUCUUUGGGCUUUCCGAAAAGGUAUCACAUGCCAAGUUUGGCUUCACGGUCUAAACCUUAUAGACUCAUACAUUUUUCACAAAAAAAAGAAGAGAAAAACAAAAAAAAAGAGUGAUUAAACACGAGGACUUUCCUGGAGGUCACCCAUCCUAGUACUACUCUCGCCCAAGCACUCUUAACUGCGAAGUUCUGAUGGGAUCUGGUGCAUUAGUGCUGGUAUGAACGCAUCUGUUACUACAUGCAAUGCAAUCGUAUGUAUUCUUUUUUGAAGAUUUUAUGAUUCAUUUACCGUGGGUCCCACCAGCUAUGUAGGAAUAACCUAUCUUAUUUAUAAAAGCUUUGAUACAUGCAAAAUAUUCGAAAACAAUGUCCGAACAUAUAAUGUUCGCCCCAAAAUAUAGCAAAGACCACAAAAAUGCCAUAAAAAGUACAUUAAGGUCAAAAUUUGGAGUAGGAAAAAAAUCAAUAGGAGAAUUCCAUUUUCCUUCCCUCAUUCAUCGGAGAGCUCUCUUUGGGCAUUCCAAAAAGGUAUCACAUGCCAAGUUUGGCCUCACGGUCUAAAAGUUAUAGAGUAUUACAUUUUUAACAAAAAAAAAAAGAGAAAAACCGAAAAAAAGAGGGAUGCAACACGAAGACUUUUCUGGAGGUCACCCAUCCUAGUACUACUCUCCCCCAAGCACGCUUAACUGUGGUGUUCUGAUAGGAUCAAGUGCAUUAGUGCUGGUAUGAUCGCAUCAGUUACUACAUGCAAUGCAAUCAUAUAUAUUCUUUUUUGAAGACUUUAUGAUCCAUUUGCCGUAGGUCCCACCAGCUAUGUAGGAAUACCCUAUCUUGUUUAUAAGAGCUUUGAUACAUGCAAAAUAUUCGAAAACAAUGUCCGAACAUAUAAUUUUUGUCCCGUAAUAUAGCAAAGAUCACGAAAAGGUCAGAAAAAAUAUAUUUCGGUCAAAAUUUGGAGUAGAAAAAAAGCCCUUCCUCAUUCAUUGGACAGCUCUCUUUGGGCUUUCCGAAAAGGUAUCACAUGCCAAGUUUGGCCUCACGGUCUAAACCUUAUAGACUCAUACAUUUUUCAUAAAAAAAAGAAGAGAAAAACAAAAAAAAAAAGAGUGAUUAAACACGAGGACUUUCCUGGAGGUCACCCAUCCUAGUACUACUCUCGCCCAAGCACGCUUAACUACGAAGUUCCGAUGGGAUCUGAUGCAUUAGUGCUGGUAUGAUCGCAUCUGUUACUACAUGCAAUGCAAUCGUAUCUAUUCUUUUUUGAAGAUUUUAUGAUUCAUUUACUGUGGGUCCCACCAGCUAUGUAGGAAUAACCUAUCUUAUUUAUAAAAGCUUUGAUACAUGCAAAAUAUUGGAAAACAAUGUCCGAACAUAUAAUGUUCGCCCCAAAAUAUAGCAAAGACCACAAAAAUGCCAUAAAAAGUACAUUAAGGUCAAAAUUUGGAGUAGGAAAAAAAUCAAUAGGAGAAUUCCAUUUUCCUUCCCUCAUUCAUCGGAGAGCUCUCUUUGGGCAUUCCAAAAAGGUAUCACAUGCCAAGUUUGGCCUCACGGUCUAAAAGUUAUAGAGUAAUACAUUUUUAACAAAAAAAAAAAAGAAAAAAACCGAAAACAAAGAGGGAUGCAACACGAAGACUUUCCUGGAGGUCACCCAUCCUAGUACUACUCUCACCCAAGCACACNUUAACUGUGGUGUUCUGAUAGGAUCAAGUGCAUUAGUGCUGGUAUGAUCGCAUCAGUUACUACAUGCAAUGCAAUCNNNNNNNNNNNNNNNNNNNNNNNNNNNNNNNNNNNNNNNNNNNNNNNNNNCUCCUCAGUCAUCUUUGAGCUCUCUUUGGGCUUUCCGAAAAGGUAUCACAUGCCCAGUUUGGCCUCACGGUCUAAAAGUUAUAAAGUCAUACAUUUUUAACAAAAAAAAAAGAGAAAAACCGAAAAAAAGAGGGAUGCAAUACGAGGACUUUCCACGAGGUCACCCAUCCUAGUACAACUCUCGCCAAAGCAUGCUUAACUGCGGAGUUUAGAUGGGAUCUGGUGCAUUAGUGCUGGUAUGAUCGCAUCUGUUACUACAUGCAAUGCAAUCGUAUCUAUUCUUAUUUAAAGACUUUAUCAUCCAUUUGCCAUGGGUCCCACCUGUAGGAAUACCCAAUCUUGUUUAUAAGAGCUUUGAUACAUGCAAAAUAUUCGAAAACAACGUCCGAACAUAUAAUUUUCGCCCCGUAAUAUAGCAAAGAUCACGAAAAGGCCCGAAAAAGUACAUUAAGGUCAAAAUUUGGAAUAGAAAAAAAAACCAAAAGAAGUAUUCCAUUGUCCUUUGUCAUUCAUCGAAGAGCUCUCUUUGGGCUUUCCGAAAAGGUAUCGCAAGCCAAGUUUGGCCUCACGGUUUAAAAGUUAUAAAGUCAUACAUUUUUAACAAAAAAAAAAAGAGAAAAAACCGAAAAAAAGAGGGAUGCAACACGAGGACUUUUCUGGAGGUCACCCAUCCUAGUACUACUCUCGCCCGAUCACCCUUAACUGCGUAGUUUUGAUGGGAUUCGAUGCAUUAGUGCUGGUAUGAUCGCAUCUGUUACUACAUGCAAUGUAAUCGUAUCUAUUCUUUUUUAAAGACUUUAUGAUCCAUUUGCCGUGGGUCCCACCAGCUAUGUAGGAAUACCCUAUCUUCUUUAUAAGAGCUUUGAUAUAUGCAAAAUAGUGGAAAACCAUGUCCGAACAUAUAAUUUUUCCCCUGUAAUAUAGCAAAGAUCAAGAAAAAGCCAAAAAAAGUAUAUUUAGGUCAAAAUUUGGAGUAGAAAAAAAAACAAUAGAAGAAUUCCAUUUUCCUUCCUCAGUCAUCGGAGAGCUCUCUUUCGGCUUUCCGAAAAGGUAUCAAAUGCCAAGUUUGGCCUCACGGUCUAAAAGUUAUAGAGUCAUACAUUUUUAACAAUACAAAGUAGAGAAAACCGGAAAAAAGAGGGAUGCAACAUGAGGACUUUCCGGGAGGUAAUCCAUCCUAGUACAACUCUUGCCCAAGCACCCUUAACUGCGGAGUUCUGAUGGAAUCCGGUGCAUUAGUGCUGGUAUGAUCGCAUCUGUUACUACAUGCAAUGUAAUCGUAUCUAUUUUUUUUUAAAGACUUUAUGAUCCAUUUGCCGUGGGUCCCACCAGCUAUGUAGGAAUACCCUAUCUUCUUUAUAAGAGCUUUGAUACAUGCAAAAUAUAUGAAAAAACGUUCGAACAUAUAAUUUUUCCCCCCGUAAUAUAGCAAAGAUCACGAAAAGGCCCGAAAAAGUACAUUUAGUUCAAAAUUUGGAGUAGAAAAACCCAAUAGAAGAAUUCCAUUUUCCUUCGUCAUUCAUCGGAGAGCUCUCUUUGGGCUUUCCGAAAAGGUAUCACAUGCCAAGUUUGGCCUCACGGUCUAAAAGUUAUAGAGUCAUACAUUUUUAACAAAACAAAAUUGAGAAAAACCGAAAAAAGAGGGAUGCAACACGAGGACUCUCCAGAAGGUAACCCAUCUUAGUACUACUUUCGCCCAAGCACCCUUAACUGCGGAGUUCUGAUAGGACCCGGUGCAUUAGUGCUGGUAUGAUCGCAUGUGUUACUACAUGCAAUGUAAUCGUAUAUAUUCAUUUUUAAAGACUUUAUGAUCCAUUUGCCGUGGGUCCUACCAGCUAUGUAGAAAUACCCUAUCUUCUUUAUAAGAGCUUUCAUUCACGCAAAAUAAUGGAAAACAAUGUCCGAAGAUAUAAUUCCCCCCCCCCCCCCCCCGUAAUAUAGCAAAGAUCACGAAAAGGCCCGAAAAAGUACAUUAAGUUCAAAAUUUGGAGUAGAAAAAAAAACAAUAGAAGAAUUCCAUUUUCCUUCCUCAGUCAUCGGAGAGCUCUCUUUGGGCUUUCCGAAAAGGUAUCACAUGCCAAGUUUGGCCUCACGGUCUAAAGGUUAUAGAGUCAUACAUUUUUAACAAAAAAAAAUAGAAAAACAGAAAAAAGAGGGAUGCAAUACGAGGACUUUCCAGGAGGUCACCCAUCCUAGUACAACUCUCGCCGAAGCACGCUUAACUACGGUGUUCAGAUGGAAUCUGGUGCAUUAGUGCUGGUAUGAUGUCAUUUGUUACUACAUGCAAUGCAAUCAUAUCUAUUCUUAUUUAAAGACUUUAUGAUCCAUUUGCCGUGGGUCCCACCUGUAGGAAUACCCUAUCUUGUUUAUAAAAGAUUUGAUACAUGCAAAAUACUCGAAAACAAUGUCCGAACAUAUAAUUUUCACCCCGUAAUAUAGCAAAGAUCACGAAAAGGCCCGAAAAAGUACAUUAAAGUCAAAAUUUGGAGUAGAAAAAAACCCAAUAGAAGUAUUCCAUUCUCCUUCGUCAUUCAUCGGAGAGCUCUCUUUAGGCUUUCCGAAAAGAUAUCACAUGCCAAGUUUGGCCUCACGGUUUAAAAGUUAUAGAGUCAUAGAUUUUUAACAAAACAAAAAGAGAAAAACCGAAAAAAAAUUGGGAUGCAACACGAGGACUUUCCUGGAGGUCACCCAUCCUAGUACUACUCUUGCCCAAGCACCCUUAACUGCGUAGUUCUGAUGGGAUCCGAUGCUUUAGGGCUGGUAUGAUCGCAUCUGUUACUACAUGCAAUGUAAUCGUAUCUAUUCUUUUUUAAAGACUUUAUGAUCCAUUUGCCGUGGGUCCCACCAGCUAUGUAGGAAUACCCUAUCUUCUUUAUAAGAGCUUUGAUAAAUGCAAAAUAUUGGAAAGCAAUGUCCGAACAUAUAAUUUCGCCCCCGUAAUAUAGCAAAGAUCACGAAAAAGCCCAAAAAAGUUCAUUUAGGUCAAAAUUUGAGCAGAAGAAAAAGAAAUAGAAGAAUUCCAUUUUCCUUCCUCAUUUAUUGGAGAGCUCUCUUUGGGCUUUCCGAAAAGGUAUCACAUGCCAAGUUUGGCCUCACGGUCUAAAAGUUAUAGAGUCAUACAGUUUUAACAAAAUGAAAUAGAGAAAAACCGAAAAAAAGAGGGAUGUAACACGAGGACUUUCCGGGAGGUAAUCUAUCCUACUACUACUCUCGGCCAAGCACCCUUAACUGCGGAGUUCUAAUGGGAUCCGGUGCAUUAGUGCUAGUAUGAUCGCAU
rnacentral:lncRNA from 1 species